CCAUUUCCUCCUUCUGUGGCUUCGAUAGCACGGAGAUGCUCCCAAACGACAGGUAGAUCACUGACGCCUUUGGCUUCGUGUCCAGCCACUCGAUGUAGCCGCUUGAGCUCUUGAAGAGGUCGCCCCCGAAAGAAGUGUCCGAUGGAUCUUGCCCGUCCAAAAAUGCGGACGGGAUCAGCGGCCCGAUCCCAAUCACCUUAAACUUAUCGAUAGCCUGUAUGGCGUCUGGUUCCAGCGCAUCGAAGGUGUUUGCCAGCACCCUUGGAUUGGCCUCCUCAAGUAGUAUCUCGAAAUGACGCUGGAAAAGGGGGAGGGUGAAGUUGUACUCAUCUUUAGAAUUGCAAAAUGAGGGUAUGUCGCUGGCCAUGAGAGGCGGCAACCCAGGCAAUUGGAUUGGCAGCGAAGGAUUGUCGCCUGUGCUUCGAAUAAGAUCCCCGUAGCCAUGGAAGUAAUAAUAGUAGAAGUCCAAAACAGUGGCCGGUUGAAUCCAAACAAGCGUCGAAGGAAUACCAUGAGAACGAGCGACAUCAGCAACCCACGGAAGGACGGUGGUGUAGAAUACACCCAAUAAUCGCAGACCGUUCUCAAGGUUCGAGGCGAUGAGAUCGCUUAAAGUCUCCGAUCCUCGUCGCUUGAGGUCGUCCAUGUAUACCUCGAUAUCUUGCCCUUCUUUGACACCUUCGUCGUAGCCAUCAGAGAAGCUGGCGAAGGAUAGCCCCUCGGGAGGAGAUUUCGACUCGGCCAUGCGGAGGUGGGCACGAAUGGCAGUGGCGAAGGUCACGUGAGCGCCAACACGCACCAGACGCUUGGCGAAUUGGAGGGACGGGUUUAUGUGGCCCUGGCCGGGGAAGGUCACGAGGAGGAAGUGCGGAGGUGCCAUGGACGAGGAUCGAAGAAAUUCUUUGGAAAUAGUAAGGACGCCGAGGCAGCACUCGACAGGAGAUAUGCGGUAUGUGGAUGGGAGAGGAUCAACGAGGAGAUUAAGGUGGAGACUGUCCGUUAUAAAUAAGGACGUCUCUGAAACUAUUACGUCUCGACAGGAGAUACGCUGUAUGUGGAUGGGAAAGUAUUAACGAGAAGAUUAAGGGUGCGUUUGUUUAUGUUUUUUUUUUCUUUUUUCUUGUCAUGAACAUAAUUUCUAUUUUUUUGUUCCGGGGAACAAAAAAAGAACAAAAAUGUGUUUCUUUACGUUUUUGAACAUGUUUUUGUUCCCGGGACUUGUUUCUGUUCCAAAGAACAAAUUUGGAAUAAAAAUAAGAAAUAAGAAAAAACUUGUUUCUUCAUUCCUGAAACACUUUUUGAAAAAUCAAAAGAACAAAAACACAAAAAAACUUGUUUCUUUUUUAUUCUUGCUUCCGUGCCCUCUGUCAUGAGAGUGCUAGUAUGAACACUUAGAGAGGUGAAUAGGUGUUUAAAAUAAAUCUUAGCAAAUAAAUGCGGAAUAAAAUAAAUUUCAAAUAAAGUCUGAAUAAUAAUUAGACUUUGAAACUGAGUCUAAAUAAUAACAGAUUUUAACAGUUAAAUAGAACUAGAAAUAAAAUAAAGAAGUUCGGGGAAGAGAAUAAGAAUACAUAAUUUAUAGUGGUUCAGCUUAGAUCAAGCCUACGUCUACUCUCCCACGCUAAUAACCUCCUGCAUGGAUUCCGCUAUGCAAUCAACAAGAGAUUACAACUUUUGAGUGCAAACACUCAGUGGUAGAUCACACUAUUUCACUAAGUCACUUUUUUGGUAUUUCUCUCACAAUCAUAAACGUUUAAGCUCACAAGAGAUAAGUGUAUGAUCGAAGGUCGCUCAGAUUUUGGAAUUAUAAAUUCUACGCUCCGUCUCUUACUUGCUCUUCGAUCCUUGGUUUUCUUAAAUAUUCCUCUACUUCCAAACUAGUCGUUGGACAGUAUCUCGAGGAUUGUCUUCCAAUAUAUCCAUUGGACAAAUCUGUAUCUAGAAGAUUUGAUAGCCGUUGAGUGAUAAAAGUAGAAUCCCAAAUUGAUUCUUAUUGCCCAUACAAACAGAAUUUCGGUUUCCAUAAGUAGAGCUUUUUCAUUUAGAAAGUUCUUGUCAUCAAGAUCCAAUUGCCAAUCAAUUAGAUUGAGUCAAUCAAAUCUAUUUUGAUGUGAAAUUUAAACCAGAUCACUAGCCGUUAUAUGUUUCGGGCUUGUGUUACGUUCUAUCAAGUUGUCUCGUUCUGAAUCUACUACGUUCUGAACUUGUGUCUCGUUCUGGAUGUAAAGUCUAAGGGUGUUCAGACUGAAGUAGAGUCUAAACAUAUUUUGCUUCUGAACAUAUUUAGCCUUAAGGUAUGGACACAGUCUAAAUAAGUUCAACUCCAUGUCUUUUGGUUCUUCCAAGUAUAAACUUUGAUAAUAUUUUUUACACGUACUAUCAUCUGCGUAGUCUUCUCAACUAUUAAACACGUUAGUAGUCUUUGAUUUAUUUUCAAAACAUCAUAAGGAAUUUCCCUAAUAAUCUCCCCCUUUUUUUAUGAUGACAAAACAAUCUCUGAAUAUGCAGAUGUUUAAAUAUGCUUUUAAUAGAUUAGGGCAAUCUUAAAGAAUAAUGUAAUUCAAUAUAGCAAAUAGAUUGAGCAUGUAAUUAUACAUGUAAAGAUAAUUGCAGCUCAAUAAAUAAUAUCAACCAAUCAACACAUAUGCAUAUUUAUAUUCUCUCCCCCCUUUUGUCAUAAUCAAAAAGCGAUAAUAAUAGAAAUAGUAUCACAUAGAGAAUAUAAAAUGAUAAUAAAUAUGUCUUGCACAAUUUCCAAAAAAAAAAAUAGCUUUUACAAAGUAAGUCGAAUAUUAAAGAUAUGCAAUAUAGCUCACUUCGAUCAUAAAUAUCCAAUAAAAAUCACAGAUGCAUUAUAAAAUUCACUUACUCUUUUUGUCAUAAUAAAAUGAUAAUAUCAAUUAGAGAUUUGUUAAUGACAAAAGGUAAUAAAAGAUGCACUUACCGGAUUUUUUUUUUCAAUUCUAACAAAUUCUGGCACAUUUACCUUUUCCUUCCUUGCACAAUAAUCAAGAUCAUGAUCAAUUCAUAAAGAUUUUUCCAUAAUUGAUCAAUGCUCCCCCUCAAUUUGUUGCCUUUUUGAGAUGAUCACGAUUCUUUCCUUUCUCUUGGAUUCGCUUUCUCCCUUUCGUACGACACAUAAGGGAUUUCCUCAAUAAUUUGCAAAAACUUUACACAAUGAAGAGAAUCUUUGAGCCUCCAGAAAAUAGUAUAUAAUCUCCACAAUUUUCAGAUCAAGUUUUCCAAAAUCCAUAUGAAGGAUUCUUUUUGCCACUUGCAAAUUCUUGUAUAACAGAUAACAAUCUUUGUAAAAAUAUCACGUAAUAUCUUCCUUUGAUUUGUGUAUCAAACUUGCUAGAUAAAACAUAUUUUCUAAGAAUGUAGCAAGAGUAUUCAAGAAUAUGAAAUAAUAUCUGAUCAAAGGGAUUUCCUUAAGCAUAAAUCUCAAAAAUAUAUAAUUGAUGUAUUUUGCAAAAAGAAAUUAGAUAUUUCUAUCACGUGUCAAGUCAAGUAAAGAAAAUUGCAAUCUCUUAUGUUUAUGACAAGGGAUAUUUGCAAUAUAAAUGAUAAACAAUCAUUAAAAAUCUUCAUAAAAUUGAGUAGAAAUUUGCAAGGCAGGAUGAAUAUAUAUAUAUAUACCCAAGGUAUAUGUUUGAAAUAUACCAUUGAUUAAAAAUUAUCAUUACCAAUCUUCGUAAGAGAUACUUUUCUAAUUGCACCAAAAUUUGCGUAGAUUCGCAAUCAUUCUUCUCUUAUGGAAUUUCCUACAAUGAACUCAUUUCUUUUUUAGUAUCCAUCAAUUUGCAUCAUUCCACUUUGUUAGAGAAAAAUAUAAAAUCUCUAAGAAUAAUCAAAUAUUCUUUCUAAACUCAUCAUAACAAAUAAUUUAAGGAAAGAAUAUUAUGUACAAUAAUAUUUUGAAAAAGAAAUUCUCACUUAAUCAAAGCACAAUAAAAUCAAAGAGAAUAAAAUCGUUGAAUAUUUAAGAAAGAAUAUUUUACAUAAUAAAUUAAUAUCAUGUAAAACAGAUUUCUACUAUGCAAAAUAUAAUAAAAUCUGAGAGCAUAAAAUUAAACCAAACAACUCAAUUGUCUCUAACCAAAAUAUAAAAAAUAAUCACACGUAUUAAAUCAAAUCUCAACUCACUAAUCACAGAAACAAAUCACAUGAUUCUUCCUCCAAUAAAACAAAAUAUGAUCAUUAUAAAAUCUUAAUCAACCAAGGAUAUAUCGAAUAUCAAGCAUAAUGAGAAUUAUGUGCACAAAAAAAAAAAAAAAAUACAUUCCUUACCAAAUUCUCUUUCUUCUUUUCCUUUAUUUCCUACAGAAAUAACUCAUCUUUUCUUUGGUACCUAUUUUGUCUUGGGUCCAUAAGAGUUAGUAGAGUAUGUUGUUUUUAUCCAAUCUUUCUUAAUAGGUCUUCAGACUUUAGGACAUUUUUUUUUCAAUAUGUUCUAAAUAUCCACAAUUUGAACACUUGAGGGCAUUUCGACCAACAGGUUUUGUAAAGAACCAAGGCUAUUCUGCCUUGUGUUGGAUGAAUUUCAUGGUUGCAUACUAUAUCUAGCAUUACAAUGAAAUGCUUAGGCUGAUCAUUUGGAUUUCAUAGCUCAAAGACAGGUUGGAGAGACAUGCCUUAAUGAAGUUAGUUCAAGAUCACAUCAGAUUCUCAAACUGGUAAUGGUGAAUUUUAUCUGUUUUGUGGUCAAUUUCUAUUAAAAUGUCAAUGAUUUAUUGUUCAUUGUUUCUGCUGCCAGACAGUUGAAAGUUCGGCUUAUGAGUUCUUAGGGAACGACAAUUCAAGCACUCUUUAUGAUAUUGUGGUAUGGAUAUUCAGUACUUUAACCUAUGUACAAUUGCUAGGAGAAUAUAAUAGUUUCUUUUGGCUGCAGAACUUCGUGGAUCUGGCAAGAAGUGAGCGUGCAUCUCAGUCAGUGAGCGUGCAUCUCAGUCAUUAUCGGCUGGUGCAAGGUUGAAAGAGGGCUGCCACAUAAAUCACAGUUUGCUGACUUUGGGAACAGUUAUCCGCAAGCUGAGGUUGGCCUUUCAGCUUGUUUUUUUGUUGUCUUCAUCUGAGAGAUCUUAUAAUUUAGUUGGACUGUGCACUGACAUGAACAUAGAGCACCACUGCAAUGCCUUUUCCGUGCCAAAGGUCCAUUUCUUACACGAUACUGGUUCACCUGCAUACACACAUGUUAUACGAAUAACAACAUCAUGAACAACCAAGCCUUCUCCCACAAAAUAGGACAGGGUAUAAAAGAGAAUCCCAGAAAUUACGACCGCAUGACACGUAUUGGCAGCCUCAAUUAGAACCCGAGGUUCUUCCUCAUGUAAGCUCAUUAGAAAAGGUCGAAAAGGAACACUUCAUUUAUGGCAAGCGCACUCCAAUGCCUUCAAAAUAAGUUGAUGGUAUCUGCUGCUUUUUAUUAUUAUUAUUAUUAAUCUUUAGAUAAUAUUAAUAAUAUUAUCGAGAUGUUGAUACAUCAAUGUUGGUUCUUCCAAUCAUUUCUGUUUCCAUUUUUUUUCAUUAAAAUACAAAGACCAUCUAGGUUACCAUGCAGAUUUUAACAUCAAGAAGAUUAACUGUUUCAAAGCAUAAGAAGUCAAGAUACUCAAGAGUAGUUGUUUAGGUUCAUUUGGAGCAAGUUUGAACUUUUCACAUUUCCUUUUAUUGUAGUGUUUGAAAUUUGACUUUUAUUACACAUUGAACAUCUUAAAAUUUUGAAACAUAUGAAUUUUGACAUGUGUGGUUGUAUAGACUCUUUUUAAUAUAUUUUGACACGGUAAGGUUUCUCACGAUACUCUUUAUUUUAUUUUGAGCAUUCUAUUUCAUUGAUCAUUGAUAGUCAUAGUACUAUGUAGUUCUUGUAGCUCAAAAUGCAACUUAUGUUCUAUUCUAUACAAGUUAGUUCAAGAAUUGUCAAUGUUGUCAUUAUAGUCUUCUUCGGUUGCGUCUCUUGAGAAUGAUUUUGUGUAUGGCAUGUAGUUCCUAUAGUAUUAUGUUAUUGAUUUAACUCAUAACUCAUAUAAUGCUCAACCGGUGAAAGAUUAAAUGGCAUUUGAGAGACAACCAUUCAGUGCAACGUGGACCGAGUCUAUAACCAACCUAUUUAUUGGUUUGUUGGUGGAUGAGGUCAAAAAUGGAAAUCGCACCUCUUCUACUUACAACAAAAUUGGGUGGAAGAAUAUACAAACUAAAUUCGUUAAAUAGACAGGAUGCCAAUAUAGCAUAGUCCAGCUGAGGAACAAGGUAAACAAACUGAGAAAACAAUAUGACAGUUUUCAGAAAUUCAUUUCUUAGUCUAGAUUUGGUUGGGAUAAUGUGAAUAAAAGAGUUGUUGUCGACGAUCCAAGUAUAUGGGAAUCUCACAUCAAUGUAUCUUUUUAACUUUUUGGUCAUUUUUAUAUCAUUAUAGAUGUAAAUUUUAAAAUGUAUGAUUAUAUUACUGAAAUGUUAUUAUUGUAAAAAUUGUAGGAUAAUGUCGAGUGGGCAAAAUUCAAGAAGGAUGGAUUUCCUCAGUAUCCCGAGCUAUGUAUUGUAUUUGGUGGUACAUAUGUUAUUGGGGAUUAUGCCAUAAGAAAUGCUCAAGAUUUGACGGUGUUGGAGGAAGAUGACAAUGGUGAUGGCAAUGUAGGUGGUGACAACGGUGGUGGCAAUGUAGAUGGUGACAAUGGUGGUGGCAAUACAAAUGACUUCAGUGAUCACCACAUUGAUGAGAGAGUUUUUACAUCAAAUAAUACUGCAACUUCAAUUCAUGGAAAGCACAAAUUGGAUAGGACUCCAAAUACUAAGAGGAGAAGAAAUAGUAACCAAGCCGGUAUUGCUGACACUUGCAAAGCCAUACAAGAUUUUUUAAAAGUUAGGUCAAGUCAAUCUGGUAGUGGCUCUGCGACCUCAGGGAUUACACCACCACCUGUAGACCCUUUCUCUGUAUUUGCUAUGAUUGAUAUUCUAGUUAGUAUGCCUGAGCUAGAGCAAGAUGUUUAUAAUAAAGCAGUGGAACGAGCAUGCGUUAGUGCCCCAUAGAGGGAGGCUUUCAUUAAAUCCCCACCUGGAAGGAGAAAUGGACUUCUUUAUUGUCUUUAGCAGAUGUUUGGAAAUAUAUUAUGGAUUGCAUGGGGUUUCUUAGACUGUAUAACUUAUGUUAUCUAUUAAUAUUUAGUUUUUAAAGAUAAUAGUGUUGAGACUCUUGUACUUAUAUGUAAUGGCAUAUUCUAUUGAGACUCUAUGACUUAUGUUAUUGAUUGUUAUUGGAUAUAUUUUCAAAAGCUAUAUUGAUGUUUUUAUAUUUUUGUGAUGGUAUAUGUACUAUGGAAGGGGGAUCAAAUAGUGAGUCUAACGAGCAGGUAGAACGAGUUGAACAAUUAUUGGAUGAUGAUGAUCUUGACAUAUUGAUAGCGUGGUUGUGCAUGGUUGCAAUGGACGUGUCUGUGCAUACAAGAGAACCUAUUAGGGACAAUAAAUUAUCAGGACUCGAAUGGAUAAUGGAAAUUGUUUAUGGACAUUCAAAUAGGAUAUAUGAAGCUUUUAGGAUGGAGAGACAUGUUUUUCUGAAUUUAUAUGAUUUAAUGAGGGUAAGAGGUUGGUUGAAAGAUAGUUGAUUUGUUCUAAUAGAUUAACGAGUUGGGAUAUUCUUAUAUUUGGUUUGUCACAAUAGCUCAAAAAGAGAUUUAUGUGAGAGAUUCCAACAUUUGGGAGAAAUGAUCAGCAAGUAUUUCAACAUAGUGUUGAAAGCAAUUAUCAAACUUUUAAAAGAGAUAAUCAAACCACCGUCCUUUGAUGUCAUCCCACAAGAAAUUCUUAUAGAUCCUAGUCAUAAACGUUACUUUAAGGUAUGAUUUUUAUAUCAAUUUUAUACCGUCAAAUACAUGUAGUUGAAAAUCUUAUAUAAUAUUAUAUUGGUUAUAAAGACAAAUUUAUGAUUAUAUUAUGGUUGAAUAUCACAACAAAUUUAUAUAUAUAUCAUGUUAUAGGGAAAUAGUACGUGGUAGAUUCUGGUUCUGCAACACUUCCGGGAUUUUUAAUUCCAUUUAAAGGCGAACGGUAUCAUCUUAACGAUUAUAGAGGGAAUGAGAGAUGGCCAAGAACAGCAAGAGAAUUGUUCAACCAUAAGCACUCUUCACUAAAAAAUGUAAUUAAGAGGUCAUUUGGGGCAUUAAAGAAUCGCUUCACUAGUUUGAGACUUAUGCCUCCAUUUACAAUUUGGAAGCAAGCACUUGUUGUAAUUGCAUGUUGUUCUCUCCAUAAUUACAUUCAUGAUCAAGAUAGGAUAUAUAGAAACAUUUCCCUAUAUGGAGAUCCAAAGUAUCCGUUCGGACCUAGAGAAGUGGAGGUUGCAGAUGAUACAUUGCAUGAGCAAGCACCGGGGAUAAACAUGCUUAGGAUAAGCAUUGCAAAUAAAAUGGCAAGGGAUCACAAUAUGCUUGAGAUUUCAUGACUUUGUGUUUCUGACUUUUGUAAUAUUGUUUUUAAGUAUUCACUUGUCAAAGUCAAUGUGAUGAAGUUGAACAAUGAACUAUAUUACUUCUUUUAUUGUGAUGUCAUGUAUGAAAGGGUCAAUGUAGAGAUCUAUAAGAUACUAUUCUUUUUGCUAGCUCUUAUUGUACGAACUUUACUUAUAAAAUUUUCUUCGAAGUAUGCGCAUAUGACCAUGUUCAAAAUGUUUUUCUCCACUCACCAUGAACAAAAUUAAAUUGGUGAGUAUUUCAUGAGAAUGAGAAUUCAAUACCAAGUUUACACUUUAUAAAUAAAUAAAUAAAGCACUUGAGAAAAUUUGGAACAGAAAUUUUGUACAGAUUACCAAACGUGUUUAUAUUCUUUUUCUAUUUCAGGAACAUAAAUUUUGUGCCGUUAUCAAACGCGUUUCUGUUCUCUUUCUAUUCCAAAAACAAAAAUUUUGUGCAGUUAUCAAAAACAAUAUUUUGUUAAAAAUUAUUCUCCGGAACAGAAAUAGUCGUUACCAAACACACCCUGAGGUAGAGACUGUUCGUUAUAAAUAAGGAUGUCUCUGAAAUUAUUACGUCUAGGCUGACGAAUGAGGGAAUUGCUUGACUUGUACAAAGCGGUAAAGUCUGGAUUGUCUUGCUCUCUCUGGGGGAGGAAAUAUUGCCUGCGUAUUUACUUAUGUUAUUGGGUAACGUGACGAGUUAAGAAGUCAGUUAUUAGGGCAACACUUUUUUUGAACAUGAACAUGUUGAGGACCUUUAGAUAAUUUCUCUCGUCUCCACCGAUUUCACCACAUACGAGACAUCUCUAAUUUUUUAUACAUAAGACAAGAAAAAUAGUGAAAUUCACGAAGUCAAAAAUAUCAGAACGAUGAGUCUCCAGUACAAAAUUUUAAAAUACUUUGAAUUUCACUCUAACUAAAAAUCCUAAACCUUAAUCUCUCUUCUAUCUAUAUGUAGCUACUACGGUGAGAUAGUAAUUAGAAGUCCAUAGUCAAUGGCACGGCUAGGUGCGGAGACUCGCGGUUAACAGUGGGGGAUGAUGCCGCAACUUUGUCGUUGGAUGGAUCACGAACUGAAAUACACCAAACUGGAUGCUUCACUGCUAAGGGAACCAGCAGCUCGACGGGGAGGUACAGCAGGUCACGAGGACGUCGUGGCACAGUGGAGCUGGUGCUUCGCGGUUCGACGAGGGAGGAGCAUCAGCGACCGUUGCGGUCAAGGGAGCGGCGCUAGCGUCGGGGGGUCUCGGCCGUGAGGACUUGGCCGAAGACCUCUCUCUCUUCUUCUUUCCCCCUCUCGAUUAUCCCCCUCUCCAUGUGUCAGAGAAAGACCCCCUUCAAUUUGCAGAGGAAUGGAGCCCACAAAGAAACAAAAUUUCUUUCCUCUUUCCAAUCACAUAUACUGCAUGGCCGAGGCACAAUCUCCCUUCUUUUAUUUUAUUUUCCUUCUAUACGCCAAUUCCAUGCAAAUAUUUUAUUUGAUUGCGGGUGUUGAUCUCUGUCUUUGCCCACUCCACUUUUAUAAGCUAAAAAAGAAUCUUUGAACGAAGAGGAGGGAUACUGACCAAAAAAAAAAAAAAACGAAGAGGAGGGAUGGACUUUCCCUUCGCGAAUGCUCAUGCAUAUUUUCUUGAUUAUUCUUUCUUUUUUCUUCUUCUGGCCUUGCUUAGCCGAAUAUUGCCAAUACCCACCAAAACUGAUCUCGUCUUUUUUUCUUAAUAUUUACUUCAAUAAUUAUGCACGUACAAGCUCCUUCAAGAUCAUUGCCAAUUUUCCAAUUUGGUAUACCUCAUAAGUUCACUUUUGGCCAUUUAAAGAACGAUAGGCUUAGCCAAAUUCUCUCUCACCGAAGGUUUAGGCUGCGCAUGACAACGCUUCUUGGUUGAGGAAGAGUUUUUUUUUUUUUUCAAAAAUAGUUCUUUUUUAUUUCUAUUUCAAAGAACAAUUUCUAAGUAAAAGAACCAGUUUGAUAACUACACGAAAUUUCUACUUUUGGAAUAGAAAAAGAACAAAAAUGCGUUUGGUAAUGCAACAAUUUCUUUUUUGUAUUUGUUCAUUUUUUAUUCUUGCUCACAGAUCGCCGACCAUCAACCACCGGUCGUGGCUGCCGACGGCCGCCUGCCGGCCGCCACCACUGCAUGACCACCGGCCACUGCCCGUCACCGCCGACUGUCGCCCGUCACCGCCGACCGCUACUACACAGCCCAUCAGCCACAGACGACUGCCGACUGGCGGCGGCCAGCGGUCAGUGGUGGCUCUGGGCGGUUGGAGGUGGCUGCGACAAGAGAGAGGAAUAAAAGAAAAAUAAAAAAAGAAAAUUGACUUAUCUCUAAAAAUUGUUCCCGGAAAUAAGAAGCAACUUUUUUUUGCUUAUCAUUUUUACUCCAAAUCUAUUUCCAGGUUAACUUUCUAUUCCGAGGAAUAAAAAAUAACUUGGUGUUACCAAACGGAUUUAUGUUCUUUUUUUGUUCCAGGGAAUAAAAGAACAGAAAUUCGAAGGAGUUGAAAUGUUACCAUGCGCUGCCUUAGUCCAACUUGCUAAAUUAAAACUUAAAACCUUAAUUCAAACCCAUUUUCGUCGGUCCAAUGCAAAUGCAAUAAUAAAAAAUAUAAACUAAAUAAUAAAUCCUCCUAAAACUAUAUGCAAUGCAAUGUAAUUAUAAUAUUCUUGUUUGGGAGUUAAUUUUUAAUUUUUCAAAUAAAUGAAUGAUCAUGUCGUUAAAAUUUAGGUGUCAACAAUCACAAUAGGAGGAUGGAAAAUAUAGAGUAGUCCAAGCUUGAAGAAGCCAAAACAGCCCGAAAAAAGUGCCUUUUCAUUUGGACAGCAUAGUUUCGACAAAAGAAAAACAAAAAAAAAAAAACAAAUUUGGACAGCUUAGGCAAAGAUGCACGAGUAAAACCUUUAUACAGAGUAGCAAGAAUAAGCGGACCUAAAGCAAUCGAUGUACCUUCGGCAAGACUAGAGGCAACAACGAAGAGGUCCUGAGAUACUUGGAAAGCCGAAUAAAAGAUGUAAUUGGAAAGCUAGAAGAGCCAAAAAAAAGGGGACAUUGUCAUCGAGAGACUCGAGGAGUUCAGGAGGACCAACUUCUCUGACAGGCGUACUAGAAGGAAGAAAACCAACUGAAGCAUAAUCAUCCAGAAGGGUGAUCGACACAGCACCCCACGGCAAAAGAAACAGUUGGUUGAUGGAGACCAAAAAUUGAUGGCGACACCCAAAAGACCUAGGUUUAAAUUACAGCUGAAAUGGCUAAAUUGGAGAGCAGUGUCGAUGCUGGUCUUUUCCCAAAUACGUUGUAUUCGAACACCGGACUUCAUCCUCGAAUACCAUAUGUAGAAAUCAAUUUCAAAUGAGGGAAACCCCUGAAUCCUGAAGGCUUACUAAUCCAAACAUCUACUAUAGAAGAUCUCUGGAUGGGAAACAAUUCCCCGCUCCUUCGAGGAAAACAAGGUAUAAGGGAUGCAGGCAUUUGAAAAUGACUUUAAGACAAGGAUCAAGGAUGAUUGCAUCGGGAUAAUUAGCAAUCACAUUUAGAAUGUCAAGAUAGCAAUUUUUGUGAUGCUCAUCUUCUCGUAAACUGUCGAACUUAACGAUAUAGUCUGCGGAAGAAUAACUGGGGGGAUCAGGAGCCAUAGAGAAUAGUGAAGCUUAAGACGUUAACUCAAAAGGCCAGGGACUUUUAGACCAGACAAAGGAUUUAGGGCUUAAGGUUGAAGAUCAAUGGAGUAUAAAAAUCAAAUCUUUUUAUGAAUAUAUACUUUCUCAGAAUAGACGGCAAUUCAAAGGACGGUGAUUCAAAAAGAUGCAAUCCAUAAUGAUGACGAUCCGUGGUCCGAGUCAAACAAGACAAGUUAGCAAGCAUCAGAGGGACAAUACGCAUCCUGGCACUGGUCAUAGGAUAGACAUGGAUGCCUAAGGUAUUUCUUUAAAAUAAAUUUAAAUUACCUAUUAAAUCUUUUUAAAUGGGGCAUAUAUUUACUGAAAAAUGACCAAACUAUCGAUAUGAGAAGACACAUUAUUAGAACAUGAAAAAUUAAUGAGAAGGUGACCCGUUGUUGACAACUAAAAUUGGCAUCAAUGUUGGCACACAUUGAUUGUCACCAGCCAAUUACCAACCUACAACAACGUUUGGUCGAAGACAAUUGAUAUCAAUAAGUGGCCAAAAUGUUAGGAGAAAAUGAAUGCAUUGGAAGCAUCAAGAUAUGGUUAAUGGAUCAAAGUUAUUGAGAAGUAAAGUAAUCGAGAUCAUGGAGUAAUUGGUAUGCAUCCUUUUUAGGAAUAUCAACAUAGAAACGGGAUGGUAUCAUGAGAAUAUUGGCACAAGACUUUUGGAAGGAACUGUUCAAAAGCAAUUAUGACACAACUAUUAUAAAUAUCAUUGACCUUUCGGAAGGAACUGUUCAAAAUUUGUUUGAUAGUCCUCAUCAAAUACUAAAUUUUUAAUUUUUAGAUUGAUGUAUGCGAACUCACAUUAAGUAUUUUACUAAUAAAUAAUUAUGCAGGACAAAACCGAAGUCUCUUCAUCGAUUUUUUUUUCUAAUAAUUAAAUGUGGCAUGAGACAAGCAUAUCUUGCAUUCUCACCAAAUGGUCUUCCGUUAUUUAAGAAGACGACUAAUGUCUCUUGGUUUUGACCAAAUGGCUCAAUCCACCAUCUGCUAUUGCUCGGUCGUGUGGUUUAAGAGAAACGAAGGUAGAGAACUGGGGGAGUUUAUUAUCAUCAUCAUCAUCAUCAUUAUCAUCAUCAUCAUUUUUUUUUUUUGUCGAAGAGAAUUGGGGGAGUUUGAAAAUGGGCAAAUAUCAUGAAAAAUUCCAAAUUGAUAUACCUGUCACAAAUUUACCCUCAAUUAAUUUUUAAAUUAGCAAAAACAACAAAAUAGUAUUAUUGUGACAAAUUUUCCCUAACUUGAUAUGGAUUUCUAUGUGAACUUGACAUUAUCAUAUGUCAUCUAACUUAACAAUUUCACGAUAAAAUUUGAAUGAAGCUAACAGACGAUAUAUAUGUAAUAGAUGUAGCAUUUUGGGAUUUUUUGUGACCCAAAAAUUAAUUUAAAUAAAUUGAUCACAAAUAUAAUAGUUUUGGGUAAUUUAUGAUAAGUGUAUCAGUUUAGGAUUUUUCGUAAGUGGAUCCUUAAAAUAUAAUUAAAAAUGUUACAUGGGUCCCAAUCAUUCAUCUUUUAUCACCUCCACAAUUAGAACACUUCACUCAUGGGGUCUAUUUUCCGAUCAUGUCUUCAGCAAUAAGCCUCAAAUCACGCUCCUCUGUGAACUGCCACGCCUGCUUUCGGUCCUUGACAGUUAGCCAUCUGUCUAUACCGAUGAACUCACCGCCCUUUGCCGGUGGUCGCCGUGAUUCAACCCUCUUGGCAACCUCCUAGCAAGCGUGUGAGUGAGGCAUGAGCACUUUAACAUACACCAUAAAUCCUAGUCCCAGUCGAUAUUACAACCUUUGGUUCCUAAUUGAAGUUUAAGAUGGAAGAAAAUAUAACAAUCAAGUAUUUCAUAUUUUAUUAUUACUAAUAUGGAUUAUUGAUACGGAUCAAGACAUCGUAAUUCUUCUAUCAUCGAGAAAUGUUUUUCCCAUCGGUGGUAGGUGACCAUCAAGAUUCAAGACUCAGCAACAGAAGCGUCAGAUAUGGCGGGCUGGAAUAGAAGGAACGUGGUGCGACACUUCUAACAUGUUUAGAUUUCUCAAGGACUCUCCAGUCCACCCAGAAUGGGACAAAAAACAGAAAAAAAUGACACCUUGAUAGGGAAAAUAUUGUCCAAAACGACAAGCUACGACUCCAUGCCCCAAUGAAGGAUACAUAAAAGCCAUAUGAAGUGUGCAUUCGGUAAAAGUCCAUAAAGAAAACGACAAAUCCUCUGUCUUAAGGACAGAAAGAUCAAAGAAAGCACUUGGUUUAGCUGCUGACGCCACAGAUAAUUCACUCAGACGCUUCUCUGACCUCGUCCACGAAGGCCCUAAGGUUCUUGUCGGAAGACCCACCUUCCUUCGCAGCCUCCCUCGCCAAAUCCCUAAAUUUCUGGGCAUUCCUUCUCAUCUCAUCUCCCUCCUUUUCAUCUCCCAUCACCAGCUCCAAGCACCUCCUCAUCUCGCCGCUCUCCACCAGGCCUUGCUCGUUGGGCGUCACCUUCACCCCGGUCCUCCACACGUCCGUGACGAGCUUCGCGUUCGUCUGCUGAUCACUCCACUGCGGGAACGCCACCACGGGCACCCCGCAGACCAAGCUCUCUGAUGUGGAGUUCCACCCGCAGUGCGUCACGAAGCACCCCACCGAAUGGUGCGACAGGACCUCCACUUGCGAGCACCACGGCACUAUCAUCCCUAGAUUUUUCAGUUCUUCUUCGCAGCUCAAUCUAUCCUCGUCUCUCUCUUCUUUCCCGCUUGUCCGGAUGACCCACAAGAAUGGCCGACCAGCCUCUACAAGCGCUCGUGCCAUUUCCUCCUUCUGUGGCUUCGAUAGCACGGAGAUGCUCCCAAACGACAGGUAGAUCACUGACGCCUUUGGCUUCGUGUCCAGCCACUCGAUGUAGCCGCUUGAGCUCUUGAAGAGAUCGCCUCCGAAAGAAGUGUCCGAUGGAUCUUGCCCGUCCAAAAAUGCGGACGGGAUCAGCGGCCCGAUCCCAAUCACCUUAAACUUAUCGAUAGCCCGUAUGGCGUCUGGCUCCAGCGCAUCGAAGGUGUUUGUCAGCACCCUUGGAUUGGCCUCCUCAAGUAGUAUCUCGAAAUGACGCUGGAAAAGGGGGAGGCUGAAGUUGUACUCAUUUUUAGAAUUGCAAAAUGAGGGUAUGUCGCUGGCCAUGAGAGGCGGCAACCCAGGCAAUUGGAUUGGCAGCGAAGGAUUGUCGCCCGUGCUUCGAAUAAGAUCCCCGUAGCCAUGGAAGUAAUAAUAGUAGAAGUCCAAAACAGUGGCCGGUUGAAUCCAAACAAGCGUCGAAGGAAUACCAUGAGAACGAGCGACAUCAGCAACCCACGGAAGGAGGGUGGUGUAGAAUACUCCCAAUAAUCGCCGACCGUUCUCAAGGUUCGAGGCGAUGAGAUCGCUUAAAGUCUCCGAUCCUCGUCGCUUGAGGUCGUCCAUGUAUACCUCGAGAUCUUGCCCUUCUUUGACACCUUCGUCGUAGCCAUCAGAGAAGCUGGCGAAGGAUAGCCCCUCGGGAGGAGAUUUCGACUCGGCCGUGCGGAGGUGGGCGCGAAUGGCAGUGACGAAGGUCACGUGAGCGCCAACACGCACCAGACGCUUGGCGAAUUGGAGGGACGGGUUUAUGUGGCCCUGGCCGGGGAAGGUCACGAGGAGGAAGUGUGGAGGUGCCAUGGACGAGGCUCGAAGAAAUUCUUUGGAAAUGGUAGGGACGCUGAGGCAGCACUCGACAGGAGAUGCGCUGUAAGUGGAUGGGAGAGGAUUAACGAGGAGAUUAAGGUGGAGACUGUCCGUUAUAAAUAAGGACGUCUCUGAAAUUAUUUACGUCUAGGCUGACGAAUGAGGGAUUUGCUUGACCCGUACAAAGUGGUAAAGUCUGGAUUGUCUUGCUCUCUCUCAGGGAGGAAAUAUUGCCUGCGUAUUUACUUAUGUUAUUGGGUAAGUGACGAGUUUUUGUUUGGUCGGCACGUGACGAGUUAAGAAGUCAAUUAUUACAGAUGUAUUUUUCAAAGAUGAAUUGCAACUCUUUUUUUUUUAACAUGAACAUGUUGAGGACCUUUAGAUAAUUUCUCUCGUCUCCACCGACUUCGCCACAUAAGAGACAUCUCUAGUUUUUUUUAUACAUCAGAACAGCAAAAUANNNNNNNNNNNNNNNNNNNNNNNNNNNNNNNNNNNNNNNNNNNNNNNNNNNNNNNNNNNNNNNNNNNNNNNNNNNNNNNNNNNNNNNNNNNNNNNNNNNNAAAAAUUUUUAAAACUCUUUGAUUUUUCUGGGACUAGAAUUCCCACACCCGAAACUCCUUUUCCCCAUUUGGCGCCCCUAUGGGGCGACCCCCGGGAAAUGUAAAAAAGAAAGCCCCCCCCCCCCCCCCCCCUCCUCUCCCAUGACCUAGCGAGCUACAUAUUGAUACUUGAUUUUUAACUGACGCAUCUUAUGAAGAUAAAAGCUUGAGAUUACAGUUUCUGAUUGCGAUAGAGCCCGUUCCUCGACUAAAAAAGAGUAAUUUAAUACUUUUUUACAUUAGCACUUCAUUUUCAUUUUAAUCUCAUAAAAUCAAAUAGACAGCUAUUUUUUUUUUUUUUUGGUUAAAGUAUGAACGAAAAGUCAACCCCAAGUUAAAAUUUGAUUUUUUGAAUGAAAAACCACAAGCUAAUGUAAAUUAUACUUCCAGUGUCAAUUUUCCCAAAAAAAAAAAAAUCAAAAUUUAACUCCUUAAUUGACAUUUUAAUGAAAAAUCACCAAAACGUUAACUUUUGCCCAAAAAUAUUGAAAAUUUUUCAAAUCUCUAAAUCUUCCUCAUUUUACCUUAAUUUGACAUAGGCAUUAUCAAUUUUACAAUAAUCGAUCAAGAACCAAAUUUUCCCUAAUUUGUGGAUUUUGGUUUGAAAUUGACCAAAAAACAAAUUAGUUCAUUUCUAGUUAUUUUUAGGAAAAUUUUCUUAGCGACAUUUGAUCAUGAGGCCGUCUCACAUCCAAUUUUCAAGCUAAUUUUGAAAUUCCAAAUCAAAGGUAAAAAUCCCCAAUUUUGUCUCUAAUCCAGUGGGUAAUUCAUGAAUUGCUCAUUUAAAUCAUGAACAAGUCCAUUUUCUUAGAGACUACUAAAAUCCAAUAUCAAUUUUGACAAAUUCACACGAAUUCAAUUUGAUUUGACCAAUUUGGUUAAUAUGAAGUUUAUAAAAUCAAGCUAAUUUGGUCUAAUUGGUGCAAUUCAACUUAACCCAUUCUAAGGUAUUGGUUACUUUGACCAAAUGGGGUUCAAUUUGACAAUUAAACUUCAAUUUCAUUUUGGGGUUUAAUUGUUGUCAUCAAAUAAGCACGUGUCUGAAAUUAUUACGUCUUGGCUGACGAAUGAGGGAAUUGCUUGACAUGCACGAGUGGUAUGGUCUUGAUUGUCUUGCUCUCUCUAGAAGACAUUUCAAACAAUUAAAAUGUGCGUAUUUACUUAUGUCAUUGGGUCACAUGACUAACUAAGAAAUCAAUUAUUAGGGCCAUGUAUUUUCAAACAUGAAUUGCAAUUUUUUUUUCUUUUAAACAUGAACAUGUUGAGGACUUAGAUAAUUUAUCUCGUCUCCACCCAAUUUCGCCAAAUACGAGACAUCUCUAGUUUUUUAUACGUUGGAUGAGCAAAAUAAUGGAGUAUACACAUUCAAACAAAUACAUCACAACGGCGCGUCUCCUGUACAAAAUUUGAAAACACUUUGAAUUUCACUCAAGCUGAAAAUCCUAAACCUUAAUCUCUCUUCUAUCUAUAUGGAGCUACUAUGGUGUGACCUUAACCUCUCUUCUAUUCAUGACCUAGCUAGCUAUAUAACCCAAUAGCAUCAUUGACUUCAAUCGGCUUCUGGUCCCAACUCACUAUGAGAACGUGUUGGACUAUACUAUUAGACAAAAAAAAAAAAAAAAAUCAUUUCAAUGCAUGUCCCAUAUAUCUAUUGAUCUAAUAAAAUGAAUUUGAUUGCAAUAUUUCAUGAAGAAAUGCAUUAUCUACUUCACCAUAUAAAAAAAGGGAAAAAUUGUGCAAAAACUUCAAACUUGUUGUACUUUUGUCAAUUUAUUUAUAAAUAUUUUAGUUUUACCAAUUAAGUCAUAAAUUUUUUCACAUUUUGUCAUUUGAGUUCAUAUGGUCAAUUUUAAUUGGAAAUUGCAUACGUGAAUGUCGGUAGUGUAAUGUAGGACACUCAGCACUAAUGUGGACAAUUCUUUUUAAAUUUUUUUUUAUCUUUUUUAUUUAUCUUUAUUUUUUCACCAAGUUUGACGAGGGCUAGCCGACCCUUGCGAACCAUAGGGGAGGGCUGGUAGCCCAUGUCAACCCCUAGGCGAGGGCAAUGAAGCCCUCGCUAGUUGUGGGCGAGGGACUUGGUCCUGCCCACAGCCAUGGCUAGUGAAGACUUCACGACCCUCCCAUAGUGGCUAGCAAGGUCAACCGGUCCUCAAUUGCAAUUGGCAAGGGUUGGUUAGCAACCCUCUUGCCAAGCUUGGGAAAAAAAAAAAGGAAAAGAAAGAAAGAAAAUAAAUGAAUAAAUAAGUAAAAAAAAUUAAAAUAUUAUUAAAAAUUAUUCAUACCAAUAUCAGUCAUGCUAUGUAAGACAGUUGGUAUCCACAAUGGUGAUGCUAAAUGGACUCAAUUAAUAGUACGUAAUAAGGUUUAUGACUCAAUUGACAAAUUAAUUUUUUUUAAAUUUAAUUGGUAAAAGUACAAUAACCUUAGGACUAUUUGGACAUAAUUGGCAGUACAUGACAAGCCUAAGUCUAUUAUUAAUCCUAAUGAAAACUACAUGAAAACCCCUUGGCAUUUCCCAAUCGGCUUGAGCGGGACUCCCACAACAUCUUGUUGAUGGGGAGUAUGAACUACACUCUCAACAAUUAGCACACACAAUCGUGUCAGUACGUCACUACUUUGAACAUGGACUAAAAUGAAAAAAAAAAUGGUCACGAGGUGAAUUUUACGGAUCUUUUCAGUGGGAUGGAAAUAUCUUUAGUAAGAAUACUUUUUGUAAUUGGUUAAAUUUUGAUUAGUUAUUACUCAAUCUCUUUCCGUUGUUAUUUUGUGUUUUUCUAUUAUUUGGCCAACGAUGUACUUUUCCUCCAUUUAAACGCCCCUACUUUGCAAAUCCCAUCAAGCAUACAAAUUGGCCCGUUUUCAGAAGAACAAUGAAUCUGGGACCGAUGCGUCAAAUUUUCUAGAGUGACAGAUUCGUUAUCUUCUCAUUUUUCCUAUAUACAUCGAUAUGCAUAUUCAAAUCAUUUCUCUUUCUUUCCUUAUAGUGCAAUCAGGGCCUUUCAUCGAUUAUGUUGAUGUGGCAUGCUGAAUAUUUGACAUUACAUCAUAUAAAUACUUUUCGGUGUAUGUGGCGCCAACGUGAUGCCAGAUAUCUAACAAUUUUACAUGUGUUUAUUCUAUUUUUAUUUUAUUUUCCACGAAACAAACAUAGACAUAGUGAAGAUAACCUCAAUUGACAUAUAUGCAAAAGAUACUCAUAGUAAUGAUAGAAAGAAGAGCAAACACACGUAAAAUAAUAUCUAUCAACAUAUGUGCACACGACACAUGGGUCACAUAAUAGUUGUGUUAAAAUUUCCGUUGGAUUUUGGAUUUUAAACCCACUAAUCUUAUUGAACACAUUAAGUUAAAAAAGAUUGGGUAAAUUCACUAACUUGAGACUGUCAACUCAAUUUGUUAUGUAUGGUGAUAUGCAGAAUUUACAUUUGUAUAGGUGAAAAGUGGGAGGGAAAUUUGCUUGCUGAUGAAGAUAGAGUAGUAGUUUAUAGUUCUUUGAUACUUUGAUGCAUGAUAACGAUCAUAUCCCUAUUAUUGCUGUUGCCGAGUUUAUAACAAAUAUAGAUGUACACCAAAUUUAUAUAGAAAAGUGUUUAGCAAUUACCCAAUUUGUCUCUAAGAAUUUCAUCAAGAAUGUGUUAUCAAAGUUGUAAGUAAAAAGAGAAAAAGAAAGGAUUGUUGUUGUUAUAAAUAAUUGUGAUGAACAGUAUAUGAUUUGGUCAUACUUACAAACAACUAAUUAACACAUCUUUUGGGAAUAUAUACCUUAUCUCCUCAUCACCACUUUUCAUGUUAACAAUCACUUCUUUUCAUAUCCAAGAGUCGCAUUUUUUCAUGAUAAUGAAUCAUUUCAAUAAAAAGAUUGAACACCACAUCAAUAAGUGGAAAGACAAAGAACCAUUAUUGUAAGUGGUGCGCUCGCAGUGGAAAGUGUUGUUAGAAAAAGAUACUUAAUCACUAAUCAAACGGCAUUAAUAUCAAUUAGGUUUUUGUUUGAUGGGUUACAUGUCAGAAACAACACCCGAAUCCACCUCCCGUUCAUGCCCAUGUCAUCUGGGCUUUAGCGUCCGACCUUGCACCAAACCUAACGUUACCAUAUCAUUAGGAUCUAUCGCACUAAUUUGGUUGGGCCACAGUCAGUCUUAUAUUGGGUCGGACUAACUUUUCGUGCUCAGAGAACCCUGGCCAAUAAAAUCUUCACCACACUUACAUUUUCACCUAAGCCCAACCCACCGGGUCUGUUAACACCUUUACAAACACUAGUUCCUCGACCAUUGCCAGUCGAUCCUGAUAGUCGCGAUCAGUCCUCAAUUAUUGUCGAUCGAUCUCAAUGAUCAUUGAUCUAAAUGAUGAGGCUAGUACAUACACUUUAACAGAGACUUGACACAAAUAUGUUCAGUGGAUCCCUACACCUCCUUUUUAAUGCAAUUGCUCAUUGCCGUAACCGGGAGUUACACCACAUUAACUAUAAAGGCAAAAACAUUCUCACUUCAAUCCUGCCAUGAAAAGCCUAAGAUUGUCGUCUGAAGAUCCGCUUUCCUUGACCGCUCGCCUCGCCAAAGCUUUCCAUUUUGAGGCACUCUCACGCAUGCCUUCCUCGUGUGUCGGCCCCAUGACCAAGUCCAAGCACCUCUUCAUUUCUUCUCUUCCCACAACGCCUUCGCCGUCCGCCCUUGCCUUUACGCCUACCCCCCAUACGUCCUGGAUCAACUUGGCGUUCGUCAGCUGAUCCGAAAAUUGCGGACACGCAACCAUCGGCACGCCUGCUGUCAAGCUCUCGAGGGUCGAGUUCCACCCACAGUGCGUCACAUGGCAUCCUAUUGACUUAUGGUUCAAGACCUCCACCUGCAGACACCACGGUACUAUCAAUCCGGAAUCUCCAUCGAUUCUUCCCUUUAUCAUCGUGUCGAUUUCUUCUUGUUCACUGGUAUUGGAAGGCCGGAUCACCCACAAGAAUGGUUGGCCACUCUCGCGAAGUCCUUGGCAUAGCUCCUCCAUCUGAUUUUUCUUCAACACGGCCAAGCUCCCGAACGAUACGUAAAUCACUGAAGAUGCAGGCUUUGAGUCGAGCCACUGCAGAUAAUCCGUCGAGCAGUCGAAGAGGUCACAGCCGAAGGAAUUGUCUAACGGACGAUCUUUAUUAUCCAAAUAAGCUAGCGGGAUCAGAGGCCCAAUCGCGAAUAGCUUCAUGUUCUCCAUGCCUGCUUUGAUCAGAUCUUCUUCCAGCGCGUCGAAGGUGUUCAAGAGAACACAUGGGUUGGUUUCUUUUUCGAGUGUUAGGAUGUGUUCUUGAAAGGUCGGUACAAUGGGGAAAUUUGGAUCGGUAGGUAAGAGAAAUGAAGGCAAGUCCUCCGGUGUCAAAGGAGGCAAACCAGGCAAUGAGAUUGUAGUAGGAGGCUCAUUUUUACUACUUUGAUAGAAACCACUUCGACUGUUGAAGUAGUGGUGAUAUAUAGCAAAGACGGCAGCCGAUUGAAUAGAAAGAAAAGCGGAAGGAACGCCGAGAUCUCGAGCCACAUCGGCCGCCCACGGGAGCAGGACGGUGUAGAUCAAGAAAGUGACUGGUCGAUCCUUCUCAGAUAAGCUAACGAUCAGUUCUCUUAAGUUUCGGGAACCUACCCGCUUUAUUUCAGAAAUCCUGUCUUCGUAGGAGGAGGGUUCGCCAGCAUCGUCGUCGGUGACGGAGAAGGAGGUGUGCGAUAAGCCUUCCAUCGAAAUAGGGGUCUUGAUGGUCCUUACGUUUCGGCCAUCGACCGCGUUGGCGUAGGUGACCUGCGCGCCGGCCCAUACCAGUCGCUUGGCGAGUUGUAUGGUAGGAUUAAGAUGACCCUGACCACGGAAGGAGAUGAUGAGGAAGUGCUGGUGGUUCAUCUCUCUCUCUCUCUCUCUCUCUCUCUCUCUCUCUGUGGUGAGAUAGAUGUUGCAUUAUGGCAAUGGAAGGUUUUUUUUAUAUAUUUGAAACAUGGGCAUAAUGUCAAACGAACAUAUCCAUUUGGAUGACUUUAGUGAAAUCAGAUCGAACCCGCUACUUUUUUUUUUUUUUAAUAAUAAAUCUACACGUGGGCCAACCAGUGAUUUUCAUGUGAAAGAUUGGACUUCUGUCUCUCUUGUCAUUGAGCAAAAGUGUUUAGAGUCAGAAGUGGUAGCUUAUCCAUGGCACAUUGGCACCCGGGAUGACCUAGCCCAAGCUAGGCCCGUGGCCCACCGUGAUGAUAGUCGAGUAGGUUCCGCCCAGUCCGAUCCAUGGCAGGCCGCCGGCGACGGACUCGUAAUUCUAUGUUUGGAUGCUGGAUGGAGAGUAAGGUGAUGGAUGAGUUUGGCUUUUUAUAAGUUUAGCCGAAAUGUCUAUUAUCGUCUUGCAAGAAAGCGUUUGAUGAAACCAUCUCUCUAAACUUAAUGUUUGUUCACCAGUGUCUACAAUCAACACACUCAUUACGAAGAGACUGCUUGAUACAAAAAGAACAAAAGAGCAUUAGACAUAUUGAACUUAUAUUGAGCUCUCGUUUCCUCAUUUCAAAGUCGACGUCGGCAAAAGAAGAAUUGUAAUGCUUGUUAGUAUCAGGAGCGGGAGCUUGUGGAGCAAGAAUCCAACGGUACCUUGAGUGUUAAAGUCAUUCUUAAGGAUACAAGUCGCAUUUUUAUAAUUUUAUUCGUUGAAAUCUACACAUUGACAGCUAAUUCAUAACUUUAACCAAUCAAUGUUUAAUCAUUAACCAAACUCAUUUGUGAAGUAAUGAGUCUAACAUUUACAAUAUAUAAAUAUUUAAAUUUAUUUAUCCCAACAAGGAUGACUGCACACACCUAAUUCUUGACCAACUGUCGAUUAUUAAGUCACACUCAUUAAAAUUUUGACAGGCUUGCUCUAGAAGAGCUUUCCUACAAGACCCAAUAUGAUCAAAUUGGAUGCUGGAAUUGCAGAAUAUUGUGAUUUUUAAUCACGACUAUCUAAUCUGGAUGGGGUUAGAAAUACACAAUUUUUGCAAAUUGCUUGAUAAGAUGAUGUAAAUUUCAUUGUGAGCUUUCUAACGUUUUAAGAAUCACUUCCAUUGGAGUUUCUCUUCACAAAACUAACAAAGUAGUCAAUUUAUUUAGAAAAUCAUUCUUUACUACACGUGUUCGUGGUUUGAAGUAACAAAGAUGCACAUACAAACUGAGUGAUCGACAGAGAAUUAUUGAUAGUACAUCUCGUAGAAAUUAGUUACUGGGUAUCUCAUUAUUAUUAUUUUCAUUUAUGAAUCUUCAAGUGAAUUUUUUCUUUUUUUUGAUAAAUCAGGGAACCCGCGCACCGUACCAACACGGACAGUCCGACAGGCUCAGGAUAACGGGAGGUAAACCCUGGGGCGAUGCUAGCAGAGGACCCACCACCCUGACGUCGCACUUAAGAUCCCGUGUGCCAGCGGGAUUUGAACUCCUCCCUUUUCACAAAGGUUCAUGGGAGCACUUAUUCAACUGGGUCAUCACAGGUGGUGGUUAUCUUCAAGUGAAUUUUUAACUUGUUAAGGAUCCAUAAUUGUACAUUGCCAAAAUUUAUAAUUAAAAAAAAGGUUGUCCGUAUGACGUGUUAAAGUUGGGAUUCUCCAUCAACCAGGGUAAUAGGGUACAAUCUUAGCGCACUCGACCAAGAAGAACACGGAUGACGUGCCAAUACUUUUUAUCAUUUACCGAAGAAGAAGACAGUUCUCACUUGCCUACUGGUAGGAUUUUGAACGAGUGGCUCAGUCAACCAUCUGCCAUUGACUGGUGGAUGAGCCCUUCGCCCGGCAAAUCUGGGAUUAGUUAAAUCAUUGCAGCAAGUUUUUGGAAGAUUCUUUUGCAUUAACGGAAUCUAAUGAAUUAGCUGCGGCUUUGGCACAUGAAGUUGUUAUAACAUGGGGUAAAUAGGUGAGCUGUAAGUGUGAUUUACAUGAGAAAAAUUAGAAUAGUACAAGUGAAGUAAGGAAAACUAAAUUGCUAAAUUGUCAAAAAUAUUUAUAAUUGAAUCGAUAUCAUUGAAAAAUUUACAUUUAAAUUGAUUAAUCAUUAAAAGGUUUAUAAUUAAAUUUGCGCAAUUGAAAUGUUUAAAAUUGAAUUAAUUGCCCUACAUUUAGUUUGGGAAAUGAUUUUUCCUUAGUUUUUUUGUUUGAUGAUUAUUAGCGUUAGACUCCAUUCUGGACAACUUCUUCAAAGCUUUUCUUUACUGGUGAGAAUUUUGGCAUGACUAUCAACCUGUGCACCACAAUCUUGGUGUCUAAUCUGGGCAUAUCUUCAUUUUGAACAGAAAAAGACAUCUUGAUAUUUUUUGAGGAAUUUGAUCAUAACCUUGUUUGGUGAAGAGCUUCAUCCUGCCCUUGUCACCCUUGAUGGUUUGGCUCGGUCCCUAUAGGUCUUAGUAUGUUGAAUGUUUGGUAAAUAUCUAGUUUGGAACCUCUCAACUUCCUCAAGAAUUUCAGUAGGUGGUCCAUUAGCUCCUUUGUUCUUGUCAACCUCAAUUCUCAUUGCAUAUUCAUAGAUAUAAAAAAAAAAAAAAAAAGUAACUACAUAAAUUGUUAGGUUGGUCUCGAUUAUCAUAAAGAAUUAUUCUAAUUGUCUCUAAUACUAGUCAUACAUCUUUUAUGACCUCCGCAAUUAGAAUAUUUCAACCCUCUCAAUCAUUUGGACCCAAAAAAAUAAAAAAUAAAAAAUAAAAACUCCCAAUUUUGAAUCGUAUGUACACAGAAGGGUAUAUUUCCGCGGCCCACACAACCUAAUGCCAAGCUCUAUGGACCACCAUGCCCGUUUUUUUGUUCCUUGACGGUCGGCCUUUUGUUUACCCCGACGAUCUCCUCACCCUCGCCGGCACCCCCUGUGAUUUGACCUGCUUGUGACCUCCUGCCAAGCGCGCGAGUGAAGGCACGAGUGCUUUAACAUACGCGGUAAACACCAGCCCCCAUUGAAACCACCACCACUUGUUUCCGGUCAAAGUUCGAGACGGAAGAAGAUAUGACCAUUGAGUAUUUCAUAUCUCAUUACCAGUGUGGACUAUUGUAAAGAUUCUAAGACAUGUAGUUCUUCUGCCGCUGAGAAAUGUUUUUACCAUCAGCUGUAGGUCGAACCAUCGAGAUUCAAGACCAAGCAACAAGAUUCAAGACCUAGCAACAUAAGCGUCAUAUAUGACGGGCUGAAAUAGGAGGAAUGGAAAAUAAGAAAAGAAAAAAUGUCACCUAGAAAGGACAAUAAUUUGUCCUGAACAAUAAGCGACGACUGCAUGCCCACAGGAAGGAUUACAUAAAAGCCAUAUAAAAUAUGCAUUCGCUAAAAGUCCCUAAAGAUGAGGACAGGAAAGCACCACGUUAGCUGCUCACAGCGACACCAUAGACGAUUCAUUCGAGCUCAGAUGCUUCUCUGACCUCGUCCACGAAGGCCCUGAGGUUCUUGUCCGAUGACCCGCCUUCCUUCACGGCCUCCCUCGCCAGAUCCCUAAACUUCCGGGCAUUCCUUCUCAUCUCCUCCCCCUCCUUUCCAUCUCCCAUCACCAGCUCCAAGCACCUCCUCAUCUCGCCGCUCUCCACCAGGCCUUGCUCGUUGGGCGUUAUCCUCACCCCGGUCCUCCACACGUCCGCCACGAGCUUCGCGUUCGUUUGCUGAUCGCUCCACUGCGGGAACGCCACCAUGGGUACCCCGCAGACCAAGCUCUCUGACGUGGAGUUCCACCCGCAGUGUGUCACGAAACACGCCACUGAAGGGUGAGAGAGAACCUCCACUUGCGAGCACCACGGCACUAUCAUCCCUAUCUUAUCUAGUUCUUCUUUGAAGCUCAAUCUAUCCUCGUCUCUCUCUUCUUUCCCGCUUUCCCGGAUGACCCACAAGAACGGCCGGCCAGCCUCUACAAGCGCCCGUGCCAUUUCCUCCUUCUGUGGCUUCGAUAGCACGGAGAUGCUCCCAAACGACACGUAGAUCACCGACGCCUUUGGCUUCGUGUCCAGCCACUCCAUGUAGCCGCUCGAGCUCUUGAAGAGAUCGCCUCCGAAGGAAGUGUCUGAUGGAUCUUGGCCGUCCAAAAACGCGGACGGGAUCAGCGGCCCGAUCCCAAUCACCUCGAACUCAUUGAUAGCCCGUAUGGCAUCCGGUUCCAGCGCAUCGAAGGUGUUUGCCAGAAUCCUUGGCUUGGCCUCCUCAAGUAGUAUCUUGAAAUGCCAUUGGAAAAGCGGGAGACUGAAGUUGUACUCAUUUUUAGAAUUAAAAAAGGAGGGUAUGUCGCAGGCCAUGAGAGGCGGCAACCCUGGCAAUUGGAUUGGCACCGAAGGAUUGCCGCCCGUGCUUCGAAUAAGAUCGCCGUAGCCAUGGAAGUAAUAAUAGUAGAAGUCCAAAACAGUGGCCGGUUGAAUCCAAACGAAUGUCGAAGGAAUGCCAUGAGAACGAGCGACCUCGGCAGCCCACGGAAGGAGGAUAGUGUAGAGUACACCUGAGAAUCGCCGACCGCUCUUAAGGUUCGAGGCGAUGAGGUCACUUAAAGUCUCUGUUCCUCGUCGCUUGAUCUUGUCCAUGUAUUCCUCCAUUUCAUCCCAAUUGUCGAAACCGUCGUCGUAGCCAUCAGAGAAGCUGGCGAAGGAUAGCCCCUCGGGGAUAGAUUCCGACUCAGCCAUGCGGGGACGGGCACGAAUGGCAGUGGCGAAGGUCACGUGGGCGCCGACACGCACGAGACGCUUGGCGAAUUGGAGGGAAGGGUUUAUGUGGCCUUGGCCAGGGAAGGUCACGAGGAGGAAGUGUGGAGGUGCCAUGGACGAGGCUUGAAGAAAUUAUUUCGAAAUAGCGAUGACGCUAAGGCAACACUCGACAGGAGGUAUGGGGUAUAUGGAUGCGGGACAUUUAGCGAGUAGAUUGAGGUGGAGACUGUCCGUUAUAAAUAAGGAUGUGUCUGAAAUGAUUACGUCUUGGCUGACGAACGACGAACACCCAGUGCCGCAUGGGCCAAUAUUAAAUUGUUUGAGAAAAGUUGGCGUUCUUGGGACUAGAAGUCCAAGACAGAUGAUCAACUUUCUCUUAAGGUCAGGGCUACUAAAAAAUUUUCUUCCACAACUAUUCUUAUUAACUUUUUAUUUUCCCGAUUUUGCCUUAUCAUUUGACUGUUCAUCUUCUUUUCCAUUGAGAUUAGCUGGCGUGUUGCACAAGACUACAAGGGGCUGAUGAUAGGCUAGAUAAAAUAGCAAAUUACGAAGGCCAGCAUGCAUCCUUCCUUUCUCUAAGUGAUAUUUAAAACAAUAAAAAGCCGUGUACUUACUACUUCAUCGCAUCGCAUGAUGAAUUACGAAGUCAAUCACGAGGGUUUAGAUAUAUUCCAAAGAUGAAUGGCGAUUUAUUCAAACCUCAACAUGGUGAAGGAAAAAGAUAAUUUAUCUUUAGUCUCCACCUGAUUAUGCCACUUAUGAGACAUCUCCGCCAGGCAAAAUAACAAAGCAUACACAUUCAAACACAUCGCCAGAUUGGGUAGGAAAAGAAAAAAGGAAAAAAAAAAAGAAAGAAAGAAAUAUAUAAAAAAAUGAUUUUUUCUUAAAUUUUUAAAAAUAUUCAUGUCAGCACUAGUCAUCCAACAUAGCACAUUGGUAUCUACGUUAGUGAUUUUUUGCUCAAAUUAGCUAGAUGCAAUCAAAUAGCAAAACAUAAAAAAGUUUAGGAUUAAGUUAGUACAAGUGUUGUGAUAUCCUCAAUUUCAAGUUAUGUUUUCAAUUGAAUAAGUUGGGCUUUUCAUUGACGUACCUAUAGUUUUAUUCUCUAAGUUGACCACUCGCGAGAUAACUAGCCUAUCAAGUGAAGCCGUUAAGGAAUCUAAAUGCAAUAGACUUGAGAACUCGACUAGGAAUCGACUGCUUUACCGUGCUAAUUUGCAAGGGUCAUUACAGCACUGUCAAAAUUGAUCAGAGAUCAGAGAUAGAUUGAUUCGAUAGAGGUAUGUGAUUAGUCACCUAAUUGCAAAAUUUAUGUCGAACGGUACUAGACCGAUUUUUCUAAUCAUUUAUGUAUCCUACAUUCGUAUUUGAAACCUCAAGAUUUUUACAACAAUCGAUAGUCGCUAAUGUAUUGAAGAUAUACAAUGUGGCUCGAAAAUAAUCGACCAUGGGUCAAUUACACUAAAAAUUUCUAAAAACUACCUGAUAGGUUAGGUUAUGCUAACAUUGCGCCACAUUGAAAUUAACCGCGAAUUUAAACCCGAUUUCAGGUUAUGUCGUGUCAGGAUUCAUUUUAGGAGCAUCGACUCACCUUCCAAAUAUUUUUCUGCAAACCAAGGUUUUUGGCGAAAAUUCAAAGUAGGGCUGUUUUUGACCGGAAAUUCUGAUGAUCGUUUUUUAUCGCAUUUUUGGGAUUCAAGUUGGAUAAAUUGAUAAGAAAAAAUGUGAAUUUAAGUGUGGGCAUCUUGGUUGAAUUUAUAAGGACCAAAUUGAACUCAAUUGGAGGGGAAUAGAAGGAGAAUUGAACCAAAUUAGAUGGCCAAUGUACAAAAUUCGUUAGGCCAUGGGGGACUCAACAUUUUGGACCACUUGGAGGCUCGUUGAGGAAGCUUUGGCAGCUGCAAAAUGGCUGAGGAAGACAGCCAAGUUGGUAGGGCCAAGCACUUGAGAGCCUAAGAUAUUUUUGGUGGCCCCCUCCAUCUUCAGCAGCCUUCUUCUUCUUCUUCCCUCAGUUGCUUUCUCCAUUUGUGUACUGUUGAGAGCUUGAGGGAAACUAGAAAACCCAACCAACCAAGCCUCUAAGCCGUCCAAGCAAGUCGCGUGCUCGCAUGCUAGCCGCAAGCCCAGCCAUGUGUCCUUGCCGUCCCGCCUCCAGCUUGAGACCUGCUGCUAUCCCGAGCCAUCCUGGCCGCUGUCAAAACCUCUUGUCGUUGUUUCAAUCGCUGUUAGCCUUCGACGUUGCCCGCCUAAGUUGCUGCAGUCAUCGUCAUCCAUCUUGUGUUGUUUCAGCCCUUUCGACUGGUCCCUGCAGCCAAGAGCAGAAGCGAAAGUUCCAACAAGAGCUAAGACUUCUAGGCCCGUUUUAGGUCCCUUCUAGGCCUUCUUUGGUGUUGCCACUAGGAGGUUUGUUGCCCGUCUUUGCGUCACCGUUGCCAUGGACUCACUGGCUCACUAAUCCAGUAAGUUUACUCGCUAAACUCUGCUGAAGGAGUUAAUUAUGCUUAAAGGGUAUUUAGUUUAAGUUAAUUAGGGUUAGAUGGUUAGUUAGAUUAGAUUAGUGAUUUAAUUAUUCCAUUAUGCAUGUUGGGUGGUUAGAUUAGAUUAAUUAGGGACUAGAUAGGAUGUACUAUUUAUCUAGAUAGGUUCAUAAAUUUUCUCGACCGUUAGUAGUAUAGCAUUCGCUAGUAGUGUUUUUGUAUUGAAUUAUUUAAUUAAUUUUGGUAAUUAUUAAUAUUUUUGAAAACUAUACCGAGAUAGCCGGUGAUCAGAAUUUCAUAAUGAUUGCAAUGGUAUGCUUGGUUUAUUUAAUUGAGUGCUAAAUUGUGCAAAUUAAGUAGUGAUUGAAAUUUUGAGUAUUUAAUUCGAAAUUUGGAAGUUUCGGUAAUUAUUUAGAAAUUACUGAGCGUCGGAUUUUGACAUCGAAAAUGGUUUUAAAUACAAUAUCAAAUAGUGGGAUUUGAAAAUGAAGGGUAUCGGUUUUUCUGGUUCAAAUUGACUGUGUACCCACACACGAUUAUUUUAUCAUGUAUUUUUAAUAUGAAGAAAAUAUGCCAAGUUCACCAUUUUAAUUGAGGCAUUUAAGUGAAAUGCACGAUAUCUUGGGUCGAGCUUGAAUGGUCUUGUGUUGGUUAAGAGCACCCGUCUCGAGCUGUUGAGCUAGACGUGCCCCUAUAUGGGAUGCCCUACCAAUGGAUGCCGAUCACAGUAGAUUAUGGACUGAUACUUCUUUAUGGAAUGCUGUUGACGUAGUAACGUUACCGUGCUCGAUGGGGCGAGAUGACGCUUGGCUAUGCUAGAAGACUGCCGAACUUCGAGUAGGUCAUGCUCGUGUGUGGCCGUGAUUAACAAUUGGAACGCAUGCUGAGUGAAAUUGACGCGUCGGAUUAUGGGACAAAAUUGUGUGGCACAAAAUGAGACAUGUCAUAACGAUUUAAUCUUAUAAUCGGGAACCCUUGUGUUGUUGAGAUGAAAGUGUUGGUGGUCCAAUUGUUUAAGCAUGAAUACUAUUUAUGUUUGUAAUAUAAAUUGUGCUGACAUGUAGAAAGGAUCUGAGACGAGGUAAGUUUUUGUGAUUGUGUGGUUGUGUGGUUAGGAUGCCUUUAGGUGUAUUACCCUUCUAAUCGGGAUUUAGAGUGUGAAUUCGUUGAAAUUUAUAUCUCACCCUGUCAUAGGCUCAAUUCUUUUCAACAUCGUAGAGUGGAGGACCCAGAGUCGAGGACUGGAGAGCUUGGAGUUUAAAGUCUUCGUAGUCCCUAUUUGUUCUAGACUUCUGGACAUAGAUCUUUUGUAGUCUUUUGUAUAUGACUCGGUGUGUAUAUAAAAGUGUCACGCCUCGAUCCUCUAAGCACGUGUAGUCGAUUAAAUAGCGACGUCCCAAGAUGCAUCGCCGACCCAUUCAUUUUAUAUGCACACGCGGAAGCAAAUAAAUAAUCCCCAUACAAUAACAUAAUGGGAUAAGAAAGUAGGGCUAUAAUUUUGAAAACCAACAUCACACUUAUAUAUACACAUUGGAGCCUCGUCCUCGUCUCCAUCAUCAUUGACACUCUAAUUGGAGCCUUCAGCAGAAAACACUAGACUUCCGGGAUCUUUAAAAUCCGAGUCUACUACGUCUACGACCAAGCCUUGAGGAGGAUUUGCUGUGCGCUUUCCAAAAGCAAUAUCCAGCACAUACAGAGGUAUCUCAGAUUUUGGUAUGGAACCCUCUCUUUGGCCAUCCUGAGUCUGGUGAUACCAUGAUUUGUAUUGGUAGGGCACCUUGUGGGUGAGACCCGCAUCGACCAAAACUAUGGACCUUACCAAUUCAUAGGUCUAGCCCCUAGGGCUCUCAUGCAACGGAAUGUAAGAUGUGUGACAUCUUGAAUUUCAAGUUCUGAUUUCGAUCGAAAUAGUUGGGCAUUUCAUUGACGCACUUAUAGUUCUUUUCCCUAAACUGAUCGCUUCAUGGGAUUACUAGUUUAUCAGGUGAAGCCGUUAAGGGAUUCUAACGCAUUAGACUUGAGAAUUCGACUAGGAAACGACUGCUCGAUCGUGCAAAUCUGUAAGAGAUCAUAAUGACACAGUAAGAUUGAUUAGAAAUCGAAAAUAGGUCGACUUGAUAAAGGUAUGUGAUUAAGUGUAGGCGAUUCCACCUAAUUGCACACUUUUUGUCGAUUGGCGUUAGACCGAUUCUUCUGUCGUUUUGAUACCCUGUGUCCGUAUUUGAAACAUUGAGAUUUCUACGAUAACCGAGAGUCGCCAAUGUGUCGAAGAUGUAUUUUGUAGCUUGAAAAUAAUCAAUCAUAGGUCAAAUAUACUAAAAUUCCUAAAAGCUAUCCGAUAGAUUAGGACGCGUUAAAUUCGCGCCGAAUUGAAAUUAACUGUGAAAUUGAAAUCGAAUUCAGAAAUUGGAAGUCCUAUUAUGUCACAAAUCAUUUUAGGAAUGUGAAUUCAUCUUCAAAAGAUUUUUCAUGCAAAACGAGUUUUUUCGAAAUAUAAUCAAAGUAUGAUUAAUUUGGUUCGGGAAAAAUUAGUAAGCCCGCUUUUGGUCGUACUUUUGGGCUUCAAGAUAGUUCUCUGGUCAAGUAAAGAUGUUGAUUAAAGUGUGGUGACAUUGGAUUAAUUUUAUGGAUUUCAAUUUAACUCAAUUCGAAGGAAAUUAAAGUAAUGUGAUGUACAAGAUUUGCAAGAUUCGUAUGCCACGGCGGAGGAAGAAAUUUGACCCAUUGAAGAUAGUUAUGGAGGAUUUGAGUUAGUGGAAGAUGACCUCAUGUAAUGUCAUGGUGGUUCGGACCAAAGUGAAGAGGAUUUUGACAAGUAUAGAGUGUUGAUUUGCUUUAAAAAAGGUGGGCUAUCAACAUCAUCUUCCUCCUUGAAUCAAGAGAGUCUUGGAACUUGGAAUGGAGGGAGGGGCAUCAUGCGAACUAGGGAGCUUCGGCUAUGCCUUCGUCCGCCUGACUGACCGUUGCCAGCAUCGCUGGAGCUGUCGUCGUUGUCGUCGUUCGCACGCUCACUUGCCGGCUAGCUCGCCACUCUGCUCGGCCUUCAUCCGCGUGCCAACCAGCCGUCAUCCAAGCCAUCCCAGCAGCUGCUCGCCAUCGCCAGAGUCUCCAUCGCACCUGUACAUCGCCGUCCAGCAUUGCCCAAGCUGCCGUCGCUCGUUUUCGCCGAUCCCGCGCCCAACCGGUGACUGGAGCACCUCCGACCGAGCUUGGACAAUAGCCGGAGUUCCAAGCUAGAUCCGGAUCUUGAAGGUUCGUUUUGGAUGCCUUUCGAUCUUCUUUUGGUGUCGCCCCGAGGAGGUUUUUUGACCGCCUCGCCGUUGUGUUCACCAGGAACUCAUCAGAAAGCAAUUUCGGCGAGUUUAACCUCUUAAACCUUGAUUAGAGGGUUAAUGAUGCUUUAGGGAGGUUUAGUUUAAGUUAAUUGAGAUUAGGUUAUUAGUUUAGUUUGGUUAAGGCUAAAUUGAUGUUUAUGUUAGUAUAAUGAUGUUUUAGCUUUAAUUGAUUAUUUUUGAAUAAAUAAAUAUUUCGAAAUUAUUUAAUUAUUUAAUAAUAAUUUAUAUUAUUUACAAUUAUUAAAAAAUUAUUAUUUAAUUAAUUUCGGAAUAAAUUUAAUUAUUUAAUAAAUCCAAAAAUUAUUUCGAGACCUUAAAUUGUCAUAAUUUCGUGCUGAUUGCAGUGGUACUUUCUGUUUAUUUAUUUGAGUGUCGGUUUAUGAGAAUUGAGUGAAUUAGUGGUUAUGAGAGAAUUAUCCCAAAAUUUGAGAAUGUUGGUAUUUUAUGGGAAAAUGACUAUGAAAGAUUGUGAGUGGACUUAGAAAACCACUGAAGUAUGGUCAUGCCAAUAGGGCCGAGAUUUACCACCGAAUUUGGAAUCAAUUGUGCCCAUCAGGCCAUGAUCUACCACCUAUUAAAGGUCGUGCCGAGUGGGGCCGUGAUGCCACUAAUUCUAAAUUUGCCGAAUGGGGCCGUGAUUCCACUAACUCUAAGAAUUGCCGAGUGGGGCUGUGAUUACAACUAAAUUUAGAUUUGCCUGUAGGGCCGUGUUUAAGGGUCGAGAAUGAAAAGUUAGAAUGAUCGUGUGAUGACUUUGAUGACAUGUAAUUGAUUGAGUCGAUUGAUCGCUAAGUCGAUUCGAGUAAUUGAAUUGUUUGAAUUCUAUUACUGUAUAUGCUUGAGUAAUGUGAACUGUGCUAACUUGCAGGAAGGAACUGAGGCAAAGGUAAGUCUUAUUGUUUGUGAUGGUGUGGCUAGGCCAUACUCGAGUGUAUUUUCUUUCUAAUAGGCGUUUUGGGGGGGGGGGGGGGGGGUGAACUUACUGAGACAAUGUCUCACCUCGUCGUGGGCUCAACAUUUUUAGGUCCUUAGAUGGCGGUCAUGGAGGACUCGAAGCCAUAGACAUUUGUGGAGGUGGAGAUCGAAGAAUAGGCGAAUGUGUUUGACUAGUUGGUUGUAGGACAGUUCCUUUUUUGUUGAGCCGGUCUAUUUUGUAGCCAACCCUGUGUUGUAUAUAAACAUGUGUGUUUAUAAGAAAACCUAUUUGGUUGCGAUUGAUUGCUUGCUUUUCUAUCCCAAGUUAAAUGUUGUCAGGGGAUUUGUUUCGCUUUCGUAUGCAUAAAAUAAAUGAAUGGGUCGGCGACGCGUCCUAAGAAGUCGCAUUUUUUGUAUCAACUUGAGUGGGAUGUUUGCAUGCUCGAGGUUCGGGAUAUGACAAGAUGUCUGUUCUAUAACCUUCUUAGGCUGUCUAAAAAACUCAGGAGGAGUUGCCAUCUAUAGACCUGAAAGGUUAUCCCACAAUGAGGUGAGACGACGUCUCAACGAGUUCAACUUCCUAAGACUUGACUAGGAAGAAAAUAUGCCCUAAAGGCCGCCUAAGCAUAAACAUAGGUCGGAGAACUUACCAUUGCCCCAGUUCCUUCCUACAAGUCAGUAUUUUUCAUAGAUACACGAAUCACAUCAACUAAUCAUACGAAUUCAUCGAAUCAGAUCGAAACAUCGAUCAAUCGACUCAGUCGAUUACAUGUCAUCACAACAUUCUCUCGGUCGGCCAAAUCAAUACUAUCUAUGAAGUCUGAUCAUAAUUAGGACUGCUCUCUCUAAGCUGAUAAAUAGAUAGUAUAAUUUGCGCUAAGCUGAUAACUAAUAUACUGCUCUUUAUCUAAGCUGACAUAUCAAGGCCCUCAGGCUGAUAUAAUAUACUAACGUUGUUCACUCUAAGCUGAUAGAUAACAUUGCUCAUUCUAAGUUGAUAAGUAGCAUUGCUCACUCUAAGUUGAUAAAUAACAUUACUCACUCUAAGUUGAUAAAUAAUAUUGCUCACUCUAAGUUGAUAUGGUAUACUACUCUCGAUCUAAGCUGAUAUAUCAGAGCCCGUGGGUUGAAAUAGUAUACCACCUUGACCAUCUAUUCAAUUUACCAUUUUAAUCAUACCCGAUAAAAAUACUCGUGUGUGGGUACACGGUCGACUUUAACCAAAAUACAAUAUUUUUACUUUUGAACAUUCCGCCAAUCGGCAGUCCCAAAAUAGAUUUUUGGCGCUAUAGACUAACGUUCGGUAAUUUUCCAAUUAAUUACCAAAAUUAUCAAUUUUUAAGAUAAAUACCUGCAAUCACCAAUCACAUUUAAUUUACACAAAAUAACAAUCAAUAAAAUAAAUAGAUCACACCACUGUAAUUAGCAUGAAAUUCCGGUCACCGACUAUCCCGGUCUAAUUUCCAAAAAAUAAUUAAUUAAUUAAAUAAUUACGAAAAAUGAUUAUUAAAUGCCAAAAAUAACAACUUAGGCCAGAAAAGCCGAGACGGGCUUGGAAAGUUUUCGAAACUGCUCUAGAUAAAUACUAGAGCUUGUCUAGGCUCUAAUUACACUAUUUUAACCACCUAAAAUGCAAUAACAAUUCAUUAAAUUGCUAAUCUAGUCUAAUUAUUCACUUAAUCCAUACUUAGUCUAAACUAAUCAACCCUUAAACGUCAUUAAAUUACUAAGCAAGGAUUAGUGAGUUAAACUCACUUGUUAAGUGAUCUGCUCGGAUCAAAACGAUGAGGACACAGCAAGGGGCGAGAAACACCAAAGUGGGACCGCAUUUUGAGGUCCAGAAAGGCUUGAACUCAGGCCCGACAGCAACUUGGAGACCCACUAGACUCUGCUUCUAUUCUUGGCCGAAGAGGGGUUGCUUCGGUGGUUGAACUGCGAAACAAGAGCGGCGGAGGUAGUAGGGGUGCUCGGUGGGGCUUCACGGUGGUAGGCAGGUGACCUAGUAGCUUCGGCAACAAUGGAGCAAGUUUGAACAGCUCUAGAGGUGGCAUGGGCUCAUGGCUAAGGUGGAAUGAUGGCAUGGAAUGACAAAGAUGCAUGCGGGCAGGGCGAACGCGCGACGGCCAACGACGGCGACUUAGCGAGUUGACGGAGGAUGGACAGGCGUGCAAUGGCCUCGGCGGCUUGCUGGCUCUGCUUUCUAGUUUCUGGGCUUCAAACAGCAGCUGAGAUGGAGUGCUCGAUGGGUGAGAGGAGAGAGAGGAAGGAGGGAACCGGUUUUGGCAUGGAUGGGCCACUAAUGACCUCAUCUCAUCUCUUUGUACCCCCUCCUUUGGUCCCCACCACCAGCUGGCCUCCACAGCUGUAUUUCCAAACCAAAAUGCCCACUUCUAGAAGCUUGAGUUGGUCCAAAGGUUGGGUCCAUGGGGGCACACGUAUUUCACUUGAUUUCUCUCCAAUUGGACUUUAAUUCCCUUUUGAAUCAAAUCAAUUUGGCCUCUAAAAAUUCAACCAACAAGCUCACAAUCAAAUUGGUAUUUUUUCUCGCCAAUUGAUCCCACUUGCAUUCCAAUUUCACGAUAAAAAACGGUCAUCUACACUUUCUAAUCGAAAAUGGCCUUAUGACGACUUUUUUCACCAAAAUCUCAGCUUACAGAAAAAUCUUUAGAGACUAAGUCAACAUUCCUAAAAUGACUUGUUAUAUGACAAAACUUUCAAUUUUUGAAAUCGGAUUUAAAUUUAUGGUUAAUUUCAAUCUGGCACAUUUUUAGCGUAACUUAGGCUACCGGGUAGCUUUUAGAAUUUUUUUAGUGCAAAUGACCCGUGAUCUAUUUUUUUUUUCGAACCACAAUGAACCUAUUUGACACAUUAGCGACUCUCGGUUGUCGUAAAAAUCUCGAUGUUUCAAAUACGAACACAUGGUACCAAAGCAACAGAAAAAUUAGUUUAGUGCCAAUCAAUGAGGAUUUUGCAAUUUAGUGGAAUCACCCACGUUUAACCACACAUCUCAAUCGAAUCGACCUAUCCUUGAUCUCUAAGUGAUUUUUAACUGUGCCGUAAUGAUCUGUGUAGAUGAGCACGGUUGAAUAGUUGAUUCUUGAUCGAAUCCUCAAGUCUAUUUCAUUAAAAUCUCUUAAUGACUUCCCCAGAUUGUCCAGUUAUCUCAAAAGUGAUCAGCUUUAAGAAUAGCACUAUAGGCGCGUCGAUGAAAAGCCUAAAUUGAAAACAAAGUGAAAUUUCAGGAUGUCACAAAAAGAGUGUUUGUUUGUGAAUCUGUUUUUCUUGCUUUUCUAUCCCAAGCUGUUUACUGUUAGGGGAUUUAAUUAUUCGCUUCCACAUGUGUAUUAAAAUGAAUGAGUCGGCAACGCGUCUUGGAAAGUUGCAAAAUUUUAUCGACCACUGAGGAAUGGGCAUGUGCUCGAGGUUCGGGGUGUAACAAGUGUAAUAGGUUUAUAACUUUUUGGGUAAUUUUCCACAACAAUAUAUCUACUGUACAAACAUUUGGUCGUUUGGUUUAGUUUUGGGGAUAGUGUAUGGGAAAAUGUAAAGGUUUUUAGGCUAAAAGGGUUUUUCGAAAUGCAAGUGGUGCUUGGUAAAGUGUAUUUUAAAAAAUACAUUGGAAAACAAAUUUUGACGUAAGUGUCGUUUGGUAAAACUACACUUUGUAAAAGAUUUUGGGCAAUUUUUUUUUUUUAAAUAAAAAACUUCAAACUAUUUGCUAGUAGAACUCAACUAACCUUGGUGAACUAAAUCAGCCACUGGUCAUUUGUCGGCCACAAACCGGCCACUCGCCAGUUGUUUAUUGAUGGCCAGGCAAUGUUAGAGACUUUGAACACAUUUCUAGAAUUAUGAAAUCGAGUAAGUUAAAGUUGGAAGAAAUUUAUAUUCCAAAAAUACAACAUUUCAAAUAAUCUCUGAACCUGCCUAUGCCUUUAGAUAGCUUUGGAGAUGCAAUUGCAUAUCCCCAAAGCAGCCUAAAUUGUUUUUGCCAAAUGGCAUUUACAUUUGCCGAAGGGACUUUGGGGUGUCAAAGAUUGAAAAUUUUGAACCAAAUGUACCCAUUGAAAUACUCUCAAAUUCACUAUUCUCGAACUCCUAGUACUAAUUUCUCUUCUAUCUAUCUGUAGCUACUAUGGUGAGAUAGUAAUCUAGAAGUCCAUAGACGAUGUCCUCUUUCUCUCCGUGACCUACCUAGCUCAUAACCAUAAUAGGGUCAUUGACUUCAAGCGGCUUCUACUUCCAACUCACUAUGAGAACGUGGUAGACUAUGGCUGCACAUGACAAAAUUUCUGAAACAUAAAUUGAUUUCUAGCUAGAAAUCAAUUUCUUAAUUUCUAUUCCCCGGACAAGUUUCUGAGCAAAGAAACCCGUUUGAUAACAACUCAAAAUUUCUAUUUCUGAAACAGAAAUCCGUUUGAUAACAGAAUAAAAUUUAUAUUUCUAGGAAUAGAAAUUAAUUAGAUAACAACAUAGGAAAUCCUCAAAUACAAAAUAAUAGUCGAAAUAAUACUAAAACAACAUAGGAAAUCCUCAAAUACAAAAUAAUAGUCGAAAUAAUACUAAUACAUUACAAAAGUUGAAAAUACAAUUUCAUGAAAUUUCUGGCAUAUUAUUAUCCCUUGUCAUUUUAUUAGCAAUUGUUUUCCUAAGCGUAUUUAUUUGGUUUCCCUCCUCGGUUAAUGUAUCGUUUGCAAGCUCAUCCUACGUAGGUUCAGAUAAGUACUACGGAAGCAUGAAUAUGAGUGCCAUCAAUGGCGCCUAUACAGCUUUGUCAUUUUAUCAAAAACUAAUAUUAUACAAUAUUAUCAACAAAAUAAAAUUAAUGGUGUAAAGGAAUAUAUGAGAAUUCUACCUUAAAGUAACAUUUAUGGUUAGGAACCAAUCGGGGGAAGGUCGGUUUAUUUUGAUUCUUGAAUUGAAUCAGUCCAGUUGCUCAUUCCUAAUUUCUUUAUUGUUGCUCAAUGAACCUUUAAUGGCUCUUGCAUAGAAAAGAGAGAGAUUCUCUUGAAUCUCUUGCCUUCGAAUUAAAAUUCAAGAUUGUCUAACAAUCUAAUUAUUUUGAUUUUGCAAGAAUUUUGAAUUCGUCAAAAAAAAAAAAAAGGUUAAAUUUAUAGGCACGUUUUUAUUCAUCUAUUAUGUAAGAAAUUUUUCUUCAACUGGCCAUAUGCGUGCUUUUUCUAGAAGGAAAGAGCCCCAUUGUUUUUUCUUGUUUUUUUUUUUUUUUGGUAAAAAGAAAAUAGCCCCAUUGUUUUUAAGUAAGCAUUAAGAACUUUGGUCAUUUUUUAAAAUUGGGGACUCAUUCGAUUACCUUUCAUCCUAAAAAGGAAGUUAUCAAAAAAAUUGAAAAAAGAAAAAGAAAAAAAAACACAAGCAAAAUAAGAAAAAGAAAAUUAGCAAUAAUUUGUGUAGUUGUGGUUAUGAGUGAAUUAAGUUAGUAAGAAAGCGCAAGGUUCUUUUAUAUGGUUUGAUUUCAGUUUCUGAUUUCUAUUUCAGAAAUUGAGAAGUUAAAAAUUUCAGCUUCUGAUUUCUUCAAUUUCUCUAUCUCUGGAAUAGAAAUCUGUUUCAGAAAUAGAGAAAUCAAAUUGCGUUACCAAACGGAUUUCUGUUUCAAACAUGUUCCGGGGAAUAAAGAAACAGAGAAAUCGAGAAACAGAAAUUUUGUCAUGCGCGCCCUAUACUGUUGUAUCAAAAAAUAUUUCCAUGUCAGUGUAUGUCCCAUUAUUAUUAUUAUUAUUAUUAUUAUUAUUAUUAUUAUUAUUAUUAUUAUUAUUAUUAUUAUUAUUAUUAUUUCAACACUCAAGUUAGGAACGUGCUAGUACGCAGAAAUGAAAAAUAUAAUCAACGUGCAGUAUCUAUUAUAUUCAAAUAUAUAAUAUAUAAUUGCUUGAUAUUCCAAGUUCAAUCAAAAUUAAUGAUAAUACGAAUAGGUAGUGCUGCUAAUUAAUCCUUCAAAUAACAUCAGGUUCUACAAACCCACCAGAGUUAGCGUAAUUGAUUGUCGCAUAAGGGCGAUUUCCAGAUCAGAAAUUAGAAGUGAUGUAUUUAAAUUACAAUUACUGCGUGCAAAUAGCUUUAGGUUGAGAUCACCUCCACAGAUCAAAGAUUUGGACUUAAUUGGGUUCAUAGGCUUACAAGGUUUCCUCGAAUCUCCAGGUUUUUGGCUCUCUUCAUGAUCCUGGAUUAUUAGAAAAAUAAUGGGCUACAUCUAUCUAAGUGAGGAAGACACAUAUAGCCUGGUAAGUAUUGCAUGUACCAAUUGGUAUAUGAUACAUAUAACUAGCGGAUGGGGGAAAUGAUACAUUUGUUAUCAUAAUGUUAUCUCCGUACUUUAAAAUGUGGUUUGAUAUGGUCUAUUCAUUAGAAUGAUUAGGGAAAUCUCCUGACAUGGACGAAACAUUCCAUUCAGUUUACGAUUUAUCAUAGUUUUUGUUCAAUUUUGUUCCCAUACUUUUUUUAUUUGUUCAAUUUAGUCCACAAGUUAUUUUUUAUUCUCUCUAUAUUGCAAAAUGUCAAAUUUAGAUUUUACCCCAACACAAACAGUUUAUUAAUUACUUCAAAUUUAAAUAUAAUCCCAACACAAAAAAAAAUUAUUAAUUAUGUCAUGACACUAAAUCCCAAAUACAACACAUACAUUUAAUUGAUUAUCCAAUUCAAAGCAUUUAAAAUAUGAUAGAUAAAGAUGCUUGUGUUUACAAGUUGCAAGUAUAUCUAAAUGAGCCAUGCUUUUUUCACUCCUUUGAUUUAGACACUCCAUUUUUUGUGUUUUGACCAUAUUUUCCCUUAUGUGGUCCACUAUUUUUGUCACAACUUUAAAAAUAUGAUCCUUUUUUUUUUAUCAACUUUUUAUUUAUUUAUUUAUUUUGUUUCUUCUUUUUUCCUUACAAGUCUCACUUUCCUCUUUCUUUCUUUCCAUGCCUUCGAUGAUGUCUCAGUUCUCGGCUCUUGUCAAUCAUCUCUCUUUUUUUUUUUUUUUUUUUCUUGCAGGUCACUCUCUUCUUUCUACAUUUUACUAAUCCUCAAGUUGUAACACAUUGAGAAUGAUGCCAAUCCCGUUGUUCUCUACACUUUUGCUGGCACCGACAUUGGGGCCACUGUUCACCUCCCCAGUGAGAAUUUUCUCUAAUGCUUCCAUAAAAUCAUGUAUGAUAUGAUCAUGAAGCAAAAAAUAUAAUUCGCUCUAUAAACUUGAAGGGAGUUUUGUAGUUUGUUACCAUUAAAUAUUUUUACAGUUGAUUGCCUAGUUCAUAUUAGAAUUGAAAAUCAUAUGUCUAUAGGGUUUUUGUUGUUUUCUCUACUGCUCCUUUUAUAGCUAUUAAGAGUCGAAUUCAUGGUUGUUGGCAGUUUUAUUUAAUAUCUAUGGGAAGGCUCCAACGAACUGAUUCAAUUUGUCCUAAUAGAGCAUGUUCUCGAGAGCUUUUGUCUCUCAUAUUCCUUGAUUUUCCUGUGUCUCAUUUGUCUAGAUAGUAACCAUGGUUUGGAUCGCAUUCCAUCUUCAAAAAUCUAAAGAUGCUUGUAGCUAAAAUCUGAAGACUGGUUUUUCUAUUGGUCUUAUUGUCAUAGUUGACAACAAGAUGUUACCAUAAUUGACCCAAAUAUGAAAACCAAAAGUCAGAACUUUGCUCGGAGUGAGAUCCACUAGGAUCCUCUGUUCUCAUGAUGAAAGAAGAUAAUGGCCUACUAGAGAGAAAAUGGAGAGAGGAUUUGCAAGAGUCGAGAACUGAGAUGUUAAAUGUGUGGAAAUAAAGAAGAAGAAGGAAAGUGGGCCCACAAGAAAAAAGAAGUAACGAAAUAAAAAAAAGUUGAUCAAACAAAAAAGGGACCACUUUUGUAGAGCUAUAACAGAAGUGAUAGGAUAUACAAGGAUAAUCCGAUCAAAACACACAAAAUAAGGGAUUGUCUAACUUAAAGGAGGAGUGGCAAAAGCACCGCUCUUUCUAAACGUAUCUAAACGUGUCGUGUUACACACAAGGAACAUUAUUGAACAAGUCCUAAUGUGUCAUAAACGGUAAAAGGAUCCAUUUAUAGUAAAAAUAUUUAUUCUUCAUCAGGAUUAACCUUAUGUGAACACAUUAAUGUGUGUCAAAAAGUUGUUUUCAAAAUUACGAUUCCUAAAUAAGGGUCAUUAAGGUUUUUUUUUUUAAAGAAUAUUUGAUGACCCUCACUAUGUUCAAAUUGAGGCUAUUAUUAAAGAGAACAACUAGUUUAAGGACGGAAUUUAAAGGACAUAUGAAGUUAAAGGAUGGAAUUGAACAAAAAGUAGACAAGUUCAUAGCUCUAAUGACCAUCUUAGCAAGUUUCAUUAAAUCUUUAAGGAAAGGAGCACAUUGAACAAAAAUUGGAAAGUUCAGAAAUAAUAUUGAAUGAAAAAACUUCAGACAUUGAAUAAUUUAGCAAACCUGAAGGACUAAUGUUACCCUUAGUGGAUUAUAGAUAUGUUAUGUCUUUCAUAUUGAAAUUUUCAAAUGAUGUUAUAGAGGCCAACCGCAUCAAACUGACGAUAUACAUGUUAAAUGAAAGCUAUUAGCAACUCAUAGUUUUUAUUUUUGUUUCAUAAUAUUCACAAGGAAAUUAGAGCUGCGCAAUUGCCGAAUGCCGAAAUCUGAGUCAUAUUAUAGCCCAGAGAAUGGGACUCUAGUAUAAUUUGAUGAGUUGUGCUUGCAUAACGUUGCAAAUUGAACCCUCUAUUGCGUUCCAUUCACAAUGGGCAACCGAAUCACUAAAAAUUCAUUGAUUCAGCAUGUGUAUAAUUUUUAAAGAAACAAAUCCACUGACAUUACUCGAUAAAAAUAAAUCCAUGAAGUAAUCGACCAUAGAUUUUAGGGGUGGAACAUUGACCAAAAUUAAAUAAAUUAUACUUACGAAUUUAUAAAUAAUGUAGAUACACUGUUCAAUUUUUUUUCAAAGAUUUUUCACCGUACGGUCGGUUAUGGACUUGAGUUUCCACGGCAUCACUUUGUCACUUCGUUACGGUCGUCGCUCUAGACAGCAAGCUUUCAACCGCAUAAUUAUUGCAUCCAGCCGUCGUUUCGCACCCCAUUAAAGAGAUUGUCGCCAGAGAAUCUCCACCUCUUUAUUUUCGAUGGUGAAAUGAUGCCCCCCACGGCCGUUGUCACUACAUACGUGCCACAAUUUUCGGGCUUCGAUGCCAACUAACGCAUGGAAAAAAUAAAGGCAUGUGUGAACUCAUAGACGAAACUCGCAAAACGUACAUGCACCGGUAGAUAAAGGGAGCUGUCAGGCUUUCGAUAAAUUCAAUGAUAAUCUGAAAAAGAUCACAUCAUGUAAUAAAGAUUCUGAAAUUUCUCCAAUAAUAGAUGAAAAAUAAAUUGUGGUAGUCGCCGCUCCACAUGUCCAAUUUUGUUCAUGAGUACUAGCAAUUGGGCUCUUAUGUUUUUGUAUUGUGCAUGAAAUUGACAUUUAGUUUAUCAUGAAAUAUUUGGAUCAAUAAAUAAUUCAAAGAAACUAGUGAUAAGAAUAGACUGCACUAAUAUGUGGAAAGGUAAAAACAUUUUAAGAUGUGACAUCUUUUAAGGAAAGUUAUGCAAGAUAGAAUAUAUCCAAAUUUUAACAUUGAAAUACAUAGAAAAAUAAUAAUAUAUACUUACGUAUUUGUCCAGGUAUAAAAAUAUUUGUAAACAAAAUAAUUAAGAUAUUUGGAAAAGAGAAAAAUGAUUGAAAUCUCUUAAAAAAGGAGAUCCUCCUUACUUUAUAUAAAAGUAUAGAUGGAUAUAUUAUUUUGAGUCCCACUGGCCUAAAAACAAUAUUAUGCUGAGUUUAUGACGAAGCUCUUGUGAUCACAGAUCUUACACUAUGGUAGAUGGACAAAAUGGAUUGUGAAAAGGCUCGUGGGAUGACGGGUGUAUCUGAUGUUAAUCUGAUUUUUAUUGUUUCCUUUUUUUUUUCUUUUUUCUUUUUUAUCAAAACGAAUAGUAGGAUUUUGCUAGAUAACUCCAUCCCACCCAAACGGGUUUUUAAUACCGCAAGCAGAAAACCAGACAAAUUUACUAUAUGGCCUCAAUCAUAAAUUGUACGGUGGAAAGAAUAGUUCAUACUGAAUUUUUGUCACAAGAUUAAUAAAUCUGAGUCUGAUUAUAGCUUCGUUCUGGACUUGGUUUCAGUUUGGAUUGUGUCAGAGUGGGCAAGACUUAUAGAACAAAUAGACUUUGACAAGAGUCUAUGAUAUGACUUCAGAAGUCUUCUAUUAUUCAGAAUAAGAACAAGAACAAUAAAGUUUUGUCAACUUUAAAACCUGGUAGGAGUUUUAUCAACAAUCUCCAUCUUUUUUAUGGUGAGAAAGCUUUCAUGUAUAUUUAAGCAUAAUAUAAAAGUUAUCCUACAAAACAAAACUUUAGCAGCACAUGAUAAUUGAUAAAGAUAAUAGAUAGUAAGCACAAUAAAGUCUGCAUAAAUCUGCACAAAAUACACAUAGUCUGUACUCACAAGAAACACACCAACCAAUAGUCUGCAUAAAAUACACAUAUUGGAAUGUGUCUCUAAGCCCCCGUAUAUUUACACUAUGAUAACCAGGCUAUCUUCCACAUUGCUGCCAAUCUAGAUUUUCACGAGCAAAUAAAAUACAUUGAAAUUGAUUGUCAUCUCGUUCGUUAAAAAAUUCAAGCCAUGCUCAUUUUUCCAUUGAAGAUUGGUACGGACUCACAACUAGCUAACAGUUUACCAAACCACUAGGCCAAGAUCAGUACAUGUGGCUAACUACUUUCCAAGUUCGGUGUCCAUAUCUCACAUGCAGUAACUUUAGGGGGAGGCUUGGCGUGAUCAUAUGCCACCAGGGCAUACUUAUUUUAUGAGUAGUUUUAUAUAGGAAUAGAUUUAGGAAAUAUAGUUGUGAAUGGUGUAUAAAUAUGUACAUUUAAAAUACAAGAAAUAUUGAAUCGAUUUACAUUGGCAUCUUGCAUUUUGUAUCCUUUCUCAUGAUACCACCCCCAUCACUUGCUGCCAAUUUCAGUUCAGUCAGGAAAACUAACAGGUUGAGAGUGAAUGGCUUCCACAUAUUUCCCCAUGUUGUCCCGACGGAUUAAUGCGGAACCUAUGGAGGAAGCCAAGAUGUCAUACAUUUUGGACCGUUUGAUUUUGUGGUCCAUAUCUUCGCCGUCAAACAUUGAUGUCACUGACACCAAUCGUAUCAGCUUCUAUUCAACUUCAAAAAAUGCGUAAAUCUCCUCUUCCGAAAUCAAAUCCAUCAUUUUCUUCUCCUUCGAAGCCUCUUCUACUGCGAUAGAACGGUUGGCUCGAGCACUCAGCCAACAUUGUUGUUCCCACACCUGACCUUCAUCUUAGGCGCACUAAUCGCCUUCUGCCUCUUGGUGUAGAUUCACUAUGCCACCCAGGACUUCCAUCCCGAAGAUCCCCACGACCUCCAGCGCUGCGGGGGGUGAGGGCAAGAUCCUGAAUGACCUCCAGGGGAAAUACCAAAUUCUAGGCAACUCUACCUAGACUGUCCUGACUGCGGGGGGUUGACUUGCACUAUCUAAGCCGGCUACAAAGGCGUCUACGUAGAGCAUCUUAAGAUUUGCCUCUCAUUUAUAAAGAUAAUAGAGAGGAAAAGUGAAAAAAGAGAAUUUGAGAUUCAAGGUUUUAUUCUAGUUUAUCCUUAAACUAAAGCUACUUUAGCUGAGCAAUCCACUAUAUAUAUAUCCAGUUAUUAUUCAUGAGCCUAAAUUCAAGUUAUGAAUAAAAAAAUGAAUUCAAACUAUAAAAGUCCACUGACGUCGCGAGAGCACUGCCCCCUUACGAUUCUCUUGCCAUUCUGUCAACAAGGAGUAAGGACCAUACCCCAAUAGCUGCCGGAAUUGAGUUUCUAUACCUUUCACAUCUAGGUGACAUGUUCUGUGCUAGUUAAUCUUUUGCCGGGUCAACUUACCCCUAAUGCCAUUUGAUUCAUAAUAGGCUUCAUUCUUGUCUUCCACCAGGCCAACAAAGUGUACUCCAUGGCGGUCUUUAUGAACAUCUGUAGACUGACUCAGGUGGCCGGUGAAAGAGGCCGAUGGCAGUUCUCUCCUUGGCACCACAGGGCCCCUUUCAUCUCUAAGUAUUCUUCCUCCGAUUUCGAGGAAGAAAUGGCUACACUUGGAAUCUCCUUGGGCAAUGGGGGUCUCGGUGGAGUUCUUUGUCUUCAAUGAGCACAUCCCCGUGUUAAAACAUUAACUUGCAUCCCUGCCGCUUUCAGAUUCGUAUAAACCUAGGUCCUCUCGUCUCCCUCAACAACCUCCUCCAUAAACCCCAACCCACCUUGAAACCACGACCUGUUGUAACACAUCGAAGUUCAAGACAGAAGAAGAACAGAGAAUUUUCCAGUGCUUCUGCAAUGGAUACGUUUUUAGCAUCUAUGUGGAAACGGUAAGUCCCACCAUCAAGAUUCAAGACUAAGCGACUCAAGCGUCGGAUAUGAUUAGCUGAAAUAGAGAGAGUAUGGUGCGACAUUUUUAACAUGCUGAGAUUCUCACCAACUCUCCAGUCCACCAAACAAAAUAGGGAAAAAGAUCGCGAAACCUAUAAAUAAAAAAAUUGUCCAAAAACAACGAGCUUCAACGUAAUGCCCAAACGAAGGUUAUAUUAAAGACAUAUGACCAAAGUAUUCUCUAUAAAUUUCAAAGAAAACAACAAGCAAGCACUGCAUUUAGCUGCUGACACCAUAGAUGAUUCACAGACAAGCCUCUCUGACCUCGUCCACGAAGGCCCUGAGGUUCAUGUCCGUAGAAUCCGCCUUCCUUCACAGCCUCCCUUGCCAAAUCUCUUAAUUUCUGGGCAUUCCUUCUCCCCUCAUCUCCCUCCUCUCCAUCUCCCAUCACCGACUCCAAGCACCUACUUUUCUCGCCGCCUUCCACCAGGCUGCCUUAGCUCGUUUGGUGUCACCUUCACUCCGGUCCUCCAUACGUCUGCAACAAGCUUCGCAUUUAUCUGCUGAUCGCUCCACUGCGGAAAUGUCAAUAAUGGCAACCCAAAGACCAAGCUUUCCUAGGUCGAUUAAAUUCCAACACAUUUUGUGUUUGUACGGUCCUGUUAAAAUCGAAGCCAUUGGUUCCUUUCAUUUAUGAUAUUUUCUAUUCAGAAUUUAUACAAAAAUCCGGUUUCCUUAAAUUAAAUAAUCCAAAAAACAACUCUUGGUGAAAGAUAUUUUGUUAUGAGAAAAAAUUUCAAUGGAACAUUCACAAUUUUUUAAAUCAAAAUGGAGCUGCACAAUCGCUAAACUUACGACAUUUGAGUUAUGUUACAACUUACAACCUAGAGAAGGGGACUUUGUAGUAUGAUUUGCUCCUCUCUCGUUUCUCAUCUUAAAAAAUAUGCCGCCUGUACCUACUUCUUUAUGCUUAGAACCUACGCAAUUUAUCACCACUAACUCCCAGGGUCCUUCCUCCCCAGCCCCUCAAUCACAAGCACACGGGAACUCCUCCCAUGCCAUCGUUUACCGUCCGUCGUCGAUCCUGCUGCUACCAUCAUCUCUGCUUUCUAUCUCUCCCUUGCUCUUGAAAAGAAAUUAUAUAGAAUAUUCACAUGAUCAAUGGUUACGAUAGUGUUAAUAUUAACCAAUCAAUUUUUAAUCAUCAAGCAAACUCAUUUCUGAAGUAAUGAGUCUAACAUUGACAAAUGAAGAAUAAUACUAUAUAUAAAUAUUUAAAUUUAUUUGUCUCAACGAGGAUGAUUACACACACCUAAUUUUUUACCAACUUUUGAUUAUGAGUCACCGUAGUCAAGAUUUCGACUGACUUGCUCUGGAAAAGCUUUCCUACAACACCCCAUUUGAUUAAAUCGGAUGGUGAGAUCACUGAAUAUUGCAAUUUUUAAUUGCGACUGUCCGAUCUAGAUGGGGUUGGAAAUACAUCAUUUCUGCAAAUCGCUUAAUGAGAUCAUGUUAAUAUGGUCGUGAGCUUUCCAAUGCCUUGAGAAUCAAUCGAUUAGGGUUUCUUGAGGUAGAUAUCAUGCUUUUUCCAUUUCAAUCAUCGAAAUAGAUGUUAUAUAUAUUUGUGGAUGCGUUGGGUCAUAUGAAUAUUCGCGAAGAGUAGUAGGUAUCUGAUAAGCAAUCCACACUUACCAAGAAAAGGUCGAUCUAUUUAUAAAAUUAUCUUUUACUUCAUAUGACAAUGGUUUAGAGUAAUUGAUACAUACAAACUGAGUGACUGGCAGAAAAUAAUUGAUAGUCCAUCUCAAAGAGUUUCUAUGAAACUAGUUACUAGGAGCGCACAUGACAACAUUUUUAUUUUUCGAUUUCUUUGUUUUUUUGUUCCCUGGAACAAGUUUGGAACAGAAAUCCGUUUGGUAACACAAUUUAAUUUUUUUAUUUCUAAAACAAAAUUUUAUUUUAGAAAUAGAUUUGUAGUAGAAAUCAAAAGUUAAAAUUUUUAGUUUUUCUAUUUCUGGAACAAAAAUGAGAAAUCAAAAUUUUUUUCAUCGUUCACUCUCGUCACCACCCAUCGCCCACUAGCCGUCCGUGGGACGCUGAACGCCCACCACUCGCCGUCGCUCGCUGACCGCUGCCCACCGGACUUCGGCCGCCCGUCAUCGACCAUCCGCCAUCGGAUGCCCAUCGGUCGUUGGUUGCUCAUCACCAACCAUUGGACGCCGCAGGCCAACCGCCAACCACCAGACAUUGCCACCCGCCGUGUGUCACUUGCCACCGGUUGUUGGAUGUCGGCCGCCCGCCGCCGCUUGUUGGACUUUGGCCAUUGGCCACUGGCUGCCGGCUAUCAGACUCUGGACAUCGAACGCAGGACUUCGAAUGUUGGAUGCCGGUCGCCGGCUAGUCGAAUGCCAGACGCUGAACUCCGAACGUCGAAUACUGGAUGCCGGUCACCAACCACCAGACGCAAAAUAUCGGACUUCGAACGUUGGACGUUGGAUUUCGGCCACUCGCCAUUGAUUGCCAAACAUCGAACUCAAACCAUUGGACGCCGAUUGUUGCUGCUCCUAGAAAUAGAAAUUUAAUUCUUUUACCAAACGAAUUUUUAUUUUAGAAAUAGAAAUUUUGCAUCAUUAUCAAAUGCGUUUCUUUGCUUAGAAACUUGUCCAUGAAAUAGAAAUUAAGAAAUCAAUUUCUAUUUCAUAAAUUUUGUCAUGCACUAGUCAUCCCAAUAAUUGAUAAGAUCAUGCAAAUUUGAUAGUGAGCUUUGUAACGUUUUGAGAAUCACUUCCAUCAGAGUUUCUCUUCGCUAAACCAAAAAAGCAAUCAAUCUAUUUAGAAAAUUAUUAUUUACUAAAUAUAUCCGGGGUUCAGUAUAAUAAAGAUGCAUGUACAAACUAAAUGAUCGACAGACAAUUAUUGAUAGUCCAUCUCAAAGAGUUUAUGCAAAAACUAGUUAUUGGGUAUCUCAUUAUUAUUAUUCUCGUUCCCGAUUCUUUAAGUGAAUUUAUAAUUUGUUAAGGAUACAUCAUUGUACAUUGCCAGGAUAAGUGGGGACUUGUCCUACCACAGAUGGGAAAAUUAUCAAGAAAAAGUUGCCCGUAUGACGAGUUAAGUUGGGUGUCUCCAUCAACCAGAUGCAACCAAGAAGAACACGGAUGACGUGCCAAUUUUUUUAAUCUUUUACUUGAGAAGAAGACUAAUCUCUCUCACAUACCUACUGGUAGGAUUUUGAACAAAUGGCUCAAUCCACCAUCUGCCAUUGACUGGAGGAUGAGCUCUUCGCCCAGCAAAGACGGUCGGAGCCGGGAAUUACACAAGGCGGGGUGAGAUUCAAAAGGAAAAUUAACUUUUCAUGACGAGAUUACCCAUUAAGUUUCUGGGAUUAGUUAAAUCAUUGCAGCAAGUUUCGGAGGAUUUUUUGCAUUUAUGGAAUCUAAUGAAAUAGCUCCGGCAUUUGCACAUGUAGUUAUGAUAACAUACGGUGAAUUUGUGGACUGUAAACUUGAAUGAGAAAAAUAAGUAAAGUAUAACCACAGCUAAAAUUAGCGAGGAGGAUUAAAUUGGCAUAUCAUUAAGAGGUUUAUAACCAAAUUGGCAUUAUUGAAAAAUUUAGAAUUAAAUUGACAAAUUUUCAAAAGAUUUAAGAUUAAAUUAGUAUGAUUAGAAGGUUUAUAACUGAAUUAGUACUGUACAAUAAUUUUAGAACUUUUUGGACAAUUUUCCUAGAAAAAAAAAAGUAACUAUGUAAAUUGUCGAGUGGGUUCCGAUCAUGCAUCUUUUAUCACUUCCACAAUUAGAACACUAUAAUUCUCUCAAUCAUUUCGACCCCCAAAAAAAAAAAGAAAAAUCUUAAUUUUGAAUCUUAUGUACAUGUAGGGGUCUAUUUCCACGGCCCACACAACCUAAUACCAGCUCCUAUGAACCCCCACGCCUGCUCUUGGUCCUCGACAGGCCUUUUGCUUAUACUGACUAUCUCGUCACCCUCGCCGGCACCGGGCUGAGUGAGGCAUGAAUGCUUUAACAUAUGCCAUAAACCCCAGCUCCCGUCGAGACCACAACCUCUCGUUCCCCGUCAAAGUUUGAGACGGAAGAAGAUAAGACGAUCGAGUAUUUCAUACCUAACUGCUACUAAGAUGGACGAUUGAAAAGAAUCAAGACACCGUAAUCCUUCUGUCGUUAAGAAAUGUUUUCACCAUCAGCGGAGAGGUCCCACCAUCAAAGAUUCAAGACUUAGCAACGGAAGCGUCAUAUAUGACGGGCUGAAAUAGAAGGAAUACGGUGCGACGCUUUUUAACAUGCUGAUGUUUCUCACGAACACCAUACACUACAGAAGGGGAAAAGGAAGAAAACAGAGAAAAUGACGCCUAGACUUUAUGCCCAAACGAAGGAUUACAUAAUAGCCAUAAUAUUUAUUUACUAAAAGUCCCCAGACAUGGAAGCGCCACGUUAACUGGUGACAGAGACACCACAGACGAUUCACUCACUCAGCCGCUUCUCUGACCUCGUCCACGAAGGCCCUGAGGUUCUUGUCCGAUGACCCGCCUUCCUUCACGGCCUCCCUCGCCAGAUCCCUAAAUUUCUUGGCAUUCCUUCUCAUCUCAUUCCCCUCCUCUCCAUCUCCCACCACCAGGUCCAAGCACCUCUUCACCUCGCUGCUCUCCACCAGGCCUAGCUCGUUGGGCGUCAACUUCACCCCGGUCCUCCACACGUCCGCCAGGAGCUUCGCGUUCGUUUGCUGAUCGCUCCACUGCGGGAACGCCACCACGGGCACCCCGCAGACCAAGCUCUCUGACGUGGAGUUCCACCCGCAGUGCGUCAGGAAGCACCCCACUGAAGGGUGGGAUAGGACCGCCACUUGCGAGCACCACGGCACUAUCAUCCCUAGCUUAUCUAGUUCUUCUUGGAAGCUCAAUCUAUCCUCGUCUCUCUCUUCUUUCCCGCUUUCCCGAAUGAUCCACAAGAACGGCCGGCCGACCUCUACGAGCGCCCGCGCCAUUUCCUCCUUCUGCGGCUUUGAUAGCACGGAGAUGCUCCCGAACGACAGGUAGAUCACCGACGCUUUUGGCUUGGUGUCCAGCCACUCCAUGUAGCCGCUCGAGCUCUUGAAGAGAUCACCUCCGAAGGAAGUGUCCGAUGGAUCUUGCCCGUCCAAAAACGCGGACGGUAUCAGGGGCCCAAUCCCAAUUACCUC
rnacentral:lncRNA from 1 species